CCUUGGAGAAUAGUCGAUCCAAGCUUGAAUAAGAGUAGAGAAUCAACUAAAAUGCUGGAACCUACACUUUGUGAAAAGAGUAGAAGAUAUAUGGGUUAGCACAAUUAAUGUACUAAAUAUGACAAUCAUGCACGAAAUCACGAAAAUAUGCUUAAAAGGGACAAUUUAGUUGAAGAGCAUGCAAUUUAUAAAGUUUGAAAACCCUCAUGAAAAUUUGGUAUGAAGCAUAAGUCAUAAGCAUAAUCAAUGUAUAAGUCAUCACAUCAUAAUAGGAACACACUAUGAAUACUCUCAAAGUCUACUUGUGCCAUGCAUAAGUAAAGUCCCAUAACCCUACCCAUGCUAAGUACAACUCCUUAAGCACACAUAGUUAAUACUUUACUUUCAUUAUUACUUUGGGAAUAAGCCUUAACCGACAUAGACCAUGUGAGCUAAACAUGGAAUCUGGUGUCAUGCCCCACACCGAAAAGAGGUGUCCUACUUUCCUACGGUAGAACUAAGUGUAUUAGCUUUUAGGUGGAUCCACUAGCUAAAGACCUAUGAGGGCACACAGUUAUGGGAUACAAAGAUUGUUACUAGAAACUCGUCCUUUCUAGCGGGGAGCUUCCAUCUCAUAAGGUACAUUAUAGGAACCAGUCCUCUCUAGCGGGGGUAUUCCCAUCUCAUAUUCAAUAUCCACUCGGGGCUAAGCAUUGCUUCCCACAAUUACAUAUUUAGUCUUUGAAUUGAAUUUACAAGCAUGAAGGAGUAUCUUACCCUCCAUCCCACACAAUUCAUAGUAAUAGCUCAUAAGUUCAUUAGGUGAGAAUGGACUUUUAAACUUAGAACCAUAACAUAGUGAGAAGAACUUUCAAUUAACACAAUCAUUAAGUUGUAAUCAUGUUCAUAUACUACAUAUACAUGUAACUCAUAAUUUGGCAUAAGUUCCAUAUCUUACCCAUCUUGGAUCAAGGAUCCCAUUCUCCCAAUCAAUCUAGGUUUACCACAUUCAACAUGGAUAAUAAUAUGACCAAGAAACCACAUUACAAUAAGAACAAUUCAAUACAAUUCACCAACAUUGGAGCCAUAAAUUUAGGGUUAGCGGGAAUUUCAUGGAUUCAAGGUGAAUUUAUCAUAAAAACAGUAAUCAAACCAUAAUAUAAGACAAUUAAACAAUUGAAAAUGAUUUGAGGAAGAAUCCAUGAUUUGAACAAAACCCUAGGUCUUUGGAGACUUUUCCUACUUUGAAAUUGGAGAGUUUAAGGGCUCCAUGGAAGAAAGCAUUCCAUGGAUCAAGAUUACCAUACCUUAAUUGAUAAUUUACUCACGAAAUUGUAGAGAAAAGGCUGCACCUUGAACACUAAGCUUGACCUUGCUCUUGUUCUUCAAUGGAGUCUUAGAGAGAGAAAUAUUUUUGGGAGGGAAAUAGUUUUGUUUUUGGGGUCUUGAAUGAAUGAACUAAAUGAGUUAAUUUAGAGGUCUAUUAGGUAUAUAUAGUUAGUUUUUAAUUAGUAAACUACCCUACUUAAUUAAUUAAUUAUCCCUAAGCCCCUCCCUUAACUCUAACUUAAACUAAAAACCCAAAUCACAGGUGUCACCUACGAAACCCCACCCACGGAUCGUGGGUGGGUCCAUGUGCCAUGCUGGCAAACCAUGGUUUGCAUCAGAGAGUGGAGAAAAAUGGGGAGGCUCAGCCUCAACCCACGACCCCCACCUACGGGGCAUGGGUCUACCCACGGUUCGUGGGUGCCCAUCCAUAGAUGAAACUGCAUUUUGACAGUUUUUUGGCAGCCCCCUUGGUCCUCCUCAAGGACCCUUGGGGGGGAUUCCUUGGGGGUCAUGACUUGACGUUCAUACCCAAACCUGUUUAUACCAAGUCUAGGAGGUUAUUUUACGACUCUAUUAAUUACACUAAACCUCAAUUAGGCUACUAGUUUACACCUUAGGCUCUAGUUUAGUUUAUUAGUUUUCCAGAAUGUUACAAUCCUCUACCACAUUGGCCUUGCCAGGAUGAUAAAGAACACUCAUGUCAUAAUCAUUCAAUAAUUCAAGCCAUCUUCUUUGGGGAAGAUUCAAGUACCUUUCACUAAACACAUAUUGUGAGCUCUUGUGAUCUGUAAACACAUCAACAUGCACUCCACAUAGAUAAUGCCUCCAAAUCUUUAGGCAAAUACAACCUCCGCUAAUUAAAGGUCAUGGGUAGGAUAAUUCUUUCUUUCCACUUUUUGCAUUGAAGACACUGUAUUUUCUUUUUCGUGGGGUAAGGGGCACUUGUAGUGCCUAUCCCUUUCGUUUGGUUUACAUAUAGUUUAUGUUUUUGUUUGGUUUUAUUUUAAUUUUAUAAUUUUCUUAUCACUAUCAAUUGCCACUAGAUUUUUUGAAUUGUUGAGAUGAUUGAAGAGCUUGUGCAUUCAUUGUUGAUAUUUACGGGUCGAUCUUGCUCAAUAUCAAUAUCUUGGAUAGUUCUCUUAGUGAGAAAUAUGUUUGUGUUCGUGUUGCAAGAGGAAAUUUGUGCUGCAUUAUUCUGUUAUAAUCUUUUAGUAUCUUGUGUUACUAGGUGUGUAUUCAUUUGAGCCUUAAAAUGAACAUUGAACGCAAGCUUCUUAACUUUGUAGAGUAGUGUAAAAUGAUUGUGUUUGAGGUGUUGUGUAUGAAGAGAUCCUACUUGAUAGCAUGCUUGUAGAUUCCUAGAAUUCAUCUUGUUAGCCUAAUUGUUUAGGUUUGAUGAAUUGUAACACCCCCGAUUUGACAAAGGGUAAUAAGGCAAGUUUUAUAGAUUUCAGGUUCCAGCCACGAGGGCCAACCACGGCCCGUGGAUGGGACCACGGACCGUGGGUGUGGUCCAUGGACUGAGCACCAAGAUCCUCCAAGAACCCUGAAACCACGACAAGACCAACAGACCAUCGAUUAGACCAUGGUCGUGGUCUGGGCUCGUGGUUUAAGUACCCAGAAUUCAACCUCUAACUAUGCACGAUGGUCGUGUAGGACGGCCCGUCAUCCUGACCAUGGCUCGUCAUCAGUGGCCGUCAGUAGUGAGCUGGCAGUAUUGUUAGGGUCAGUUGGGUCUUUUCCUAAUUAUUUUAUACCUAUACUACGUCGUUUUACCCUUGACCAUGACCCUUAUAUAGGUGAUUGCAACCCCCAAAUUAGUUCAUUCACUUCAUUCUCUUCAAAUUCUCCAAUAAUGCUCUCUCUAGAAAGCUUGAAGAAGAAGAAUUCAACUUAAGGUUUUAAGUCAAGUAUCAAUUACACCAUUGAAGAUUAGAAAUUGGCUUAAAGGUAUGAUAGUUUUCAUCCAUGGAUUCCUUCCAUUCACGGAGUUCUCAAAUUUCUUUAUUUUGAAGUUAGAAAUCCCUAACUGAGUUAGGGUUUUCUUCAAUUGUCGUGGGUUCUCUUCAUUAUUGAUUUAAAUGAUUGAAUUAUGAUCUCUUUUGCAUGAAUUUAUGAAAUACUAUAAUUUUAUGAUGAUUCUCCCAUGAACCCAUGUGCUCCCCAUGUUUUCAAGAUAUGAUAAUAUGAUGUGGGAUUUUGAUUAUGAAGGAAGAGUUUUAUGAAAUUAAGCAUGUAUUGAUAGAAUUAUAUGAAUUUAUGAUGAAAUUCAUAUCUAACUCAUGUUAUCUAAAUUUGAUGAUUGAAAGUGGGUUUUGAACCUUGGAAGGUGAAUUAUAGAAUUAUGCAUGUUCUUAUGAAAUCUAUGCAAAUAUUUUAAGGAUGCUUUAAGAGUAAAGUAUCAAUGAUGAUAACGAUGAUGUGUUAUUGAAAGGAUUUUAUCAUAUACACAUAAAAUAAGAUGUGAAAUGUUUUCUCACAUAUAAAGGAUUCUAAGGUUGAAAGGUCUUCUCACCUAAUUGAAUCAAAGAUUAAGAGAUAUCCUAAUGAAAGCUAGCUUGGAUUGGUUAUUGUAUGAUACCUUUCCAUGGAUGAUUACUUAUCUUGGAUUAGCAAAAUGACGUGCCCUUCCAUGGAUAAUAAGAACAAGUAAGAAAUGACUAUUCCUUGGGAUUUAUGCUUAGCACCGAGAGGAUAUUGAGAUGGAAGCUCUCCCGUUAGUGGAGGCCAGGUUUCUAAAAUAAAUCUCCUUAUCCCUUACCCACGUGCCCCUAUAGGAUGAUUGUCUAAAUAAACAUUAGCUAUUUGAUCUACCUAAGCUAGACGUUAUGGUCCUUACCUUGGCAAGUAGGACAACCAUUUUCGGUGUGGGAGACAUCGGGGGAUCAUGUUAUAGCUCACAUGGUCUCUAUGUCGGUUAAAGCUACUUCCUACAUUAAAAAUGAACUAAGGUUAAUUCGAGAAGUAUCUCACAUGUGUUCAAAGGUUUUAAUGAUGUUAGCUUUUAUUGACCAUGAUUUAUGACUUAUGUUUUCCAACCCUUUUUUAUAUCAUGUUUUAGCUUGGUCAAUUGCAUGUCAUAAAAUGUCCACUUUUAGCAUGCUUUAAAUGUUUUAUGCAUAACUAUCAUACUUGGUACAUUGUUUUGUACUAACACAUACUCUUGUCUACAUUUCCCCAAAUGUAUGGUCCGACAGUUAGGUUUCUCAGUUUUAUGGCUAGAUGUUGAUUUCGAGGUUCCCAAGCUUUGGUGAGUCCUCAUGCUUCGAGGAUGGAUUUUCAUUGUCUUAGUUUCUUUCAUUUAUUUUCAUUUUUGGACAUGAUGUAUGGGAUAGGCCCAAUUCCAUUCUAUUGUACUAGAUGGCUAUUGAGACAAAGUGUUUUAGACUUCCGCUUUUAUUUUAUAAAACUAUUGGACUUGGACUAUGGUUUUACUCCUAUUUUUCUAUUUCUUAUGUUAUGAAAUAUAAGUGGCUUGUAUGGGGUCUUUUGUGGUCCAAUACUCUAUGUUACAUGUAAGGUGUAUCCCUGGGUCGUGACAAACUUGGUAAUCAGAUCACAAGGUUUAGAAUGGUCCUAGGAUGUCUCAUAAGCCACGUCGAGUAGAGUCUUGUUCAUAAGUGUAAAGCACGCCACAUUUAUGAAUGAGAGGCUACAAGAUGUUUUGGAAACUCCACUUCUCUCAUUACUCUAAAGUCGUGCGAUAGAGUUAAACUCUAUAAGGUCUCUCUCCUAAUCCUUAUCCGAUGCUCUACAAGAUAUGGCUACUCGAAGAGCUUAUGCUAGAAGGAAUGUGAGGGAGAAUGCAGAAUAAGAAGCUUCUCCCCAAUCUCCUCAAGUUCUGGUCGAUCCUUUGGCCGAGCAAGUGACUAAUGUAGAGUUUAGGGCUACUUUUCAAGUGUGGGCUCAAGCCAUGACGGCCCAAGCCAAUAGAGAGGUUGUGGUUCCCGUGAACCCAAAUGUGAGUACGACGACAUCUAGAGUGAGGAACUUCAUUAGGAUGAAUCCUCUAGAGUUUCAUGGUUCUAAGGUUGAGGAAGAUCCUCAAGAGUUCAUUGAUGAGGUUUAUAAGGUCUUGAUGUUCAUGGGAGUGACGCAGGUGGAAAAGGUAUAAUUGGCCGCUUAUCCACUAAAAUGUGUUGCUCAAACUUGGUUCAACCAAUGGAAAUAAGGGAGACCGAAAGAUGCAGGUCCUCUUGAUUGGGAAAAGUUUAAGGCUACUUUUCUUGAUAGGUUCUUUCCCCUUGAGAUGAGGGAAGCAAGGGUGAUUGAGUUAAUCAAUCUUCGACAAGGAAGUAUGAGUGUGAGGGAAUAUGCUUUAAAGUUCACAGAAUUGUUUAAAUAUGCUCUAACAAUUGUUGCCGAUUCAAGGGAAAGGAUGAUUAAGUUCCUUUCGGGUGUGUUUGAAAUGAUGGUUAAAUAGUGUCGUACCACCAUGCUCAUUAAUGACAUGCAUAUCUCUCAUAUCAUGGUUUAUGCACAACAACUUGAAGAGGAGAAACUUAAGGAAAAGUCUAGGGAGGUAAAGAUGGCUAAACCCGGUGAUGGUAAUUUCUCUCAUGCAAGGUCCGAUGGACAUGGUCGUCCUAAAUUUUGAAUAAAAGUUUUCCCGUCAAGGUUCCUUCAAUGCUCCUCCUAAGUUCAAUAAAGAUAGUGUGUCUAACACUAAACCUCAACGAGGUAAAGGUAGUUGAACUUCAUUGCAUAUGUCUACUUGUACUAGGUUUGGAAAGAAUCAUGAGGGUAAGUGCCUAGCCGGCAUGGAUGGUUGCUUAAGUUAUGGUAAGAAUGGUCAUAAAAUCGGGGAUUGCCCAAUGCUUAUGGCUAAAAGAAGAGAGGGCAAGAAAUCUCCUCCUAGUGGUUUGGGUCCCAAUGCUCCUAAGCAAAACCGAUUCUAUGCAAUUUAGACUCGUGAUGAACAAAAGAGUUCUCCCGAUCUAGUUACUGGUAUGUUUAAUGUUUUCCAACUUGAUUUUUAUGCUUUACUUGAUCCUGGUGCUACCUUGUCUUUUGUGGCGCCAUAUGUGGCUAUUGAUGAGUUUGGGAUUUAGACUCAUUUAGGGCUAUGUUUUGGUAGUUUUAGUGUCCUCAAAUGCCUAAUUUGUGCUAUAAACUAAUGUUAAAGCCUUGAUUUUCAGGUAUGUGAACUAAAGAGCAAAGUAAGAACACUAACAGGAAAAAAGGAACAAAACAAGCUGAAGAAGUGGAGAAAAGCAAUCUUGGUUAUCGCCAAGACCACUCGGCGAACCGCCGAGUGGCUCUUCAGUUUGCCCAAAGUUCCCGUGUGCCAGCCUUGAAGGAAGAAACCAAGUCACCGAUAGAAAAAUGGCAGUCGGUGAAUCGGCGAUAAGUUCCGCGAUGACAAGAUGGAUUGCUCAAAGUCACAGGAUUUGAGGAUGCUGAGAACCAAUGCAUAACGGUGAUAGAAGAAAGCAAAUGGUGUGUCGCCAAACCACUCGGCGACCCCGACUUUCCUCACCGAAUGGCCUUUCGUGGCUAAUUUUUGGGAAAUUAUAAAUUGAAUUUUAAAUGUAAUUUUGAGGAGCUCUUACACAGUCCUCUCCUAGAUACUACAGUUCCCAUUCUAGACUAAGAGUUUUCUCUAGAUUUUUGAGUUCGAAUUGUAAAAUUUUGGAAGAUUUUGCAAGUUGGUUACUAAGUUUUUUCAAUUUGGACCAUUGUAAAGGCUUGAAUACUCUUACCCAGAUGAUGGCUAAUGCAUUUGGUAAGCGUUUAUUUGUUUUUAUGAUGUGUGGCUAAAACCUAAAUUCUUAGGGUGUGAUUAUGUGAUUAUGGGUUGAAUUAACUUAUGAGUAUUGCUUAUUACUAAUUUAAUUGCUAUAUUGAAGUGGGUUUGUUCAUUAGUUGUGUUUAUAUUUAUGAAUUGUAGUUGCAAAUACAGUUCUAAUUUUGUGUACUUGGCUUGAUCGAGAUAGAGGUUUUGGAAGCAAAGCUUAUGAUUAAUGGUUUGUGGGUAUUGGGUUUAUCUGGGUUCAGCAGGAGAGAGUGAAUCCUUAACCCAAUCAGACGGUGACCUUUCGAUUAAAGUUGCAGGGUCAGACAAAGUGUUGAAGGAGAUGAAAGAGGAUUUCUCAACUCUCAAUUAGAUGGUGACCUCUUACUCAGUCUCUAUUAAGCAGCUAGAGACCCAAUGGGUCAAAUUUCUUCUGAUUUAAAUCCAAGACAACAAAAGGGGUUUCCUAGUGACACAAUGGAAAACUCCAAAAAUGAAGCUUGAUUUUGUAUCCUUGUCCUGCCACGACGUUAACUAAGGCGCUUCUUGGGAGGAAACCCAAGUUUUUAAUGCUUUAGUUUUUUAUUUUGAAUAAUGGGUGUUGAUUGUACAGGUUGAAAAGUGAAAAGUGUUGGAAAAUGGGUAAUUUGGCGAGCCUAGAGUCCAUUCGGCGACACGCCGAACAGGUCGGCGUUCCCCAACAUGGACCACCGCUGGACUCACCAAGCUUGAAGGGGAACUCUGUAAAACUCGACAGGCUAAAUGCUUGAUCGGCGACCCGCCGCACAGGUCGACGAGCCCAAUUUUACCCACCAUUUGAACACCCAAAUUGUUGGGACUCCUAUAAAACUAGGGGAGGUAAAAUACCACUCAGUGCAUCACCGAGUGGAUCGACCAGCACGACUUACCCCACCGAAUGUGCUGUGAAUUGAAAGGUUUUAAAGGCCAAAGGGUUUAAAAUUUUAAAAACCUUCACCUUCUCUCAUUUCAAACUCUUGUACCCUUUCACCAUAUUGUUGAUCUUUAUUAUUUUAUCGUUUUACCUGUAUUUUGUGUGAAAUCAUUCUCAGAAUUUGGGAACUUUACCGCCUAGCUAUUCAAACUCUAAAUUCGGCAUAUUAGUGUGUUUUCCGAACCCUGUACUUUAAGUUUGUGGUUGAACUCGAAUGCAAUAGGUAAAUUUAUUGUUUUUCGAUGUUGGGUAAUUGCGAUAAUCGUGUUUAAUGAGUUAGAUUGCCGUACUUUGUGGUUGAACUUGAAGUGGCUGAAUUUGGGCUUAAUUAUCGAGCAGGAGAUGGCCAUGAGGGCCAAGUAGCGCUAGACGUCCCUUCCUUUUUCAGUAUUGAUCACAAAGUUGCGUUGUCGGGCAAGAGUUCCUCGUGAUGAGAAGAGGGAUUUUGAUGUUACACCCGCAUCGUCCACCGACAUCCGGUGCAUCGAGGCCGAGUAUACAUCGAAUGAGGCUGAUAGGUGGAGAGCAGCUCCGGUGGAUACAUCCCCGGAGGUUGAUAUCAAUAUAUUACCUACAGAGGCAGCCUUGCCUACUAUGACCUCUGGGCCUUCAAGUACUUCUAGUUCCACUCCUUCCCAGGCCCCGAGUUCGUCUGUUGCUCUCCUGCCACCUAGAGCUACUAUUGGUUCUACUGCGUCUAUGCCUUCGAUCACCCAAGCCAUGCUCCUCAAGAUGAGGCACUUGGCCCUUUCUGCCGAUGAGCACGCUUCCCGGCUAGAGGCCGAGGUUCCCUGGAUGAUUGAGAGAGUUAUUACUACUGCACUGACACCUUUCAGGGAGUCCAUUGCUACUCUCACAAUGAGAGUCAAGGUUUGUGAGAGAGGGCAGGGGGUUAUUGAGGCAGUGACGACUUUGAAAGCUGAUGUUUCUGAGCUGAGAAAGGAUGUGGACCAUUUGAAGUCCACAGACUUCACUUUGCUUUUUGGGACGGUGGAGAUCCCAGAUGAUCUGAGCAUUGAGGUUCUAGCUUGUGAUUAGGUACCUUCGGCUACCACUGGAUAUGAUACUAAGGCUGAUGUUGUUGUUGCUGAGUCCGAGGCCGAGAUAGAUAAGGAGCAGCUUGAGGUGCGAGAUAAGGCUGUUUAUGAGGACCUAGCUGAUCUAGAGGGUGCCAUGUUCGAGACAGCUAGACAGGCCUCCUUGAGAGAUACUUUUGUGGAAAAAUCUAGUAGAGCCAAUGAUGAUGAACCUCGAGCACUGAUUCCCCGACAGAUGGAGCGACUGGGAUGCAUAUGUCACCCCAGGCUUAGCCUGGCAGGAUUUUCCCUCCUUCUCUGUUAUUUUGUGAUACUCUUUUCUUGUUUAGUUGAAUUUGAGGACAACUGCUUCUUUUUGUUGGGUGGGGUGAGGUAUUUCCAUACCUACCUCUUGUGAUUUUAACUUGUUUGUGAAUAUUUGGCUUAUUAUGUUGAUAUAUAUGUGUUUUGAUCUUGAUCUUGUGGAUGUUUUAGCUUGUGGCCCAUUGUUUUGACUAAAAAUGGUUUGGAACCUAAUUUAAAUUUUUGCCACCUCUUUUAUGUGUUAUUGUGGCUAUUUUUGUACGAAUUUGAGUGUCGGUUGUGAUCAAUAUCGAUGACUUGAAUAGUGCUCUUAAUUGAACGAAAUGAAUGUGCGGCUACGAUGAGGAAAACGAAGGUGCAUAGACAACAUGUGAACUUUUCGCAUCUCGUUGUGACUAGCUAGUUGUCGAAUGAGUCUCUUGUGAUGAACAUUGCAUGCUAGCUAGAAGGUGUCGAGUCUUGUUCCAUAUUGGUACCAAUGCCUUGCCAGAUGAGAUUACUUUGAACAUUGUGUGUGAUGAGUACACCUACCAUUUACCCCGUUAGUCCGGUUGAUUGAGUGAUUCACGCACUUGAAAUGAUCUUCGGCAACAAUUAUUAAGAGUUAAAACCAUUUGAAAAUAUACCUCCUUUGUAGCCAAACUUGUGAGAUGUGUGAAUUUUGCGUGGCACCUUUUGAGUCUUGCCCUUUUUCUUGAAAGAAACUUGACCAAACUGUGACUUCUCUUUGUCCAUUCACCCAUAACUUUCAUGAAGUAUGUUUUGUUUGGAUAGCCAACUUAGACAAAAAGCCUAAGUUGGGGUGCGGUGAAAAGAGAAGGAAAGUCAAGAAGCGUGAAAAAUCCUCCUUUGUGUGAUUGAUUUGAAAAAUAUGGAAUCCCUCCAUGUAAGAAAAAAAGAGAAGAGAAAAUAGAAAAGGAACUGAAAAAGAAGAAAGAAAAGAAAAUAACGAAAAGUUUGUGAAAUAAAGUAGUGAAAAUUCCACAAGAAAUGGGGUAUCUGGUGGUUCAUAUGAAGUUGAAUAAGGGGGGGGGAUUAUGAGAAUGUUUGAAAUGAUUAAGAAAAAAAGGAAAGUGAGGUUCAGACCAUACUUCAAGAAGGUAGAAGCCACUAAGCCUAAAUGACCAUACCUUUGCACUCAACCUAGUUACAAGCCUUGAAAAGACCUUGGUGAUCUUAAGUGAGCUGAAACGAAUGUUGAUUGGAAAAUAAGGGAAAACCUAUAGGUGAAGUCAUGCAUGUGUUCAUCUUUGUGAGUGUGAGAGUUUUCUGUGAUUCUGGGAUUUUAAAUUGUUGAGAAUUUAUGUGCGAAUAUGGAAUCAACUUUGGUGUGAGGGGAUCUGAGUAUGUUUUUUGAGCUUGAACUUGCAUUUGAAACAAGUAUUGUGAACUUGAGCAUCUUUGAUAAUGGUGAGUUACAAUUUGAACCUUUGAGUGCACAAUUAAUCAUUGUUUGAGUAAUUUGAACCUUGUUGUGUGCAUUUAUGUUGAGUCUUAUGCAACACUAUUUGUAGACAUCCUUAUUGAACUGGUGAUUUUGAGUUUUACUUGAGGACAAGCAAAAGUUUAAGUUGGGGGUGUUGAUGAGUCCGAGAUUUGAACUCAUUUAGGGCUUUAUUUUGGUAGUUUUAGUUUUCUCAAAUGCCUAAUUUGUGCUAUAAACUUAUAUUAAAGCCUUGAUUUUCAUGUAUGUGGACUAAGGAGCAAAGUAAGGACACUAACAUGCAAAAAGGAACAAAACAAGUUGAAGAAGUGGAGAAAAACAAUCUUGGUUAUCGCCCAAAGUUUCAGUGUGCCAGCCCUGAAGGAAGAAACCAAGGCAGUCGGUGAAUCGUCGAUCAGUUCCGUGAAGACAAGACAGAUCACCCAAAGUUACAGGAUUUGAGGAUGUUGAGAACCAAUGCAUAAUGGCGAUCGAAGAGAGUAAAUGGUGUGUCAUCGAACCACUCGACGACCCCGACUUACCUCGCUGAAUGGCCUUUCGUGGCUAACUUUUGAGAAACUAUAAAUUGAAUUUUAAAUGUAAUUUUGUGGAGCUCUUACACAGUCCUUUCCUAGAUACUACAGUUCCCAUUCUUGACUUAGAGUUUUCUCUAGUUUUUUGAGAUAGAAUUGUACAAUUUUGAAGGAUUUUGCAAAUGGGUUACUAAUUUUCUUCAAUUUAGACCAUUGUAAAGGCUUGAAUACUCUUACCCAGAUGAUGUCUAAUGCAUUUGGUAACCGUUUUUUUAAUUUUUAUGAUGUGUGGUUAAAGCCCCAAUUCUUGGGUUGUUAUUAUGUCAUUAUGGGUUGAAUUAGAUUAUGAGUAUUGCUUAUUACUAAUUUAAAUGCAAUAUUGAAGUGGGUUUAAUCAUUAGCUGUGUUUUUAUUUAUGAAUUGUAGUUGCUAAUGCAGUUCUAACUUUGUGUUCGUGGCUUGCUCGAGAGAGAGGUUUUGAUACCAAAGAUUUCGAUUAAUAGUUUAUGGGUAUUGGGUUUAUCUGUGUUCAGCUCGAGUGAGUGAAUCCUAAACCCAAUCCUACCCAUCUUGCUCGAGAGAGAGGAUAUAUUAAGGUUGUAGGUUGUUCUUAUUUGUUAAGCUUGUUGAUGUUCGAGAGAAAUCACUUAAACCGAAGUAGUUGUUUGAGAGAAAGCUAUUUCACUGAUAGCCCAGUCUACCCACUGAUAUUUAGCUAAUUAUUAGUAGUUUCAAUUACCCAUAUAGAGAAAUUUUCCUAUAUUCAAUCACAUCCCGAGAACCCCUCUCUAUAUUGUUAUUUCGGUUUUGUGUGAUUGCUUUGUAGCUGAUAAUUGCAAACCAAUUUCCCUCAUCUGACAUUUAUUGUCACCCCCUAUUUGACUUGUUUACAUAUGUUUUUUUGAUAAUUUCUAUUCUUAUACCUUAUUGGAUCACAUUUGUACUUCCUAAUUGAAUUUGAACACGUACCGCUCUCUGUGGGUUCGACCCAAGUCUUUGUUGGGUUUUAUGGUGCUUAACGAUUGUUUGCACGUAGAAUUGGAUGAGGUGUGGUUGAAACGUUAAUCAAAAUGGUGCCGCUCUCAAGGAGUGGUGUUGUUUAAAAAUCUUUUAGUGAAGUUAAAUUGUGAUCUCUUUAGUUGUAGUUGAAUCUACCUACUCUAGUUUUUUGUUUUCUGUUGCUUGUGUUGAACAUAAGAAGAGAUGAGCGUAAAUGGAAGUGGUGGUAGUCAAGUGGGCCACCAAGAUGAUAUCAGGAACCUCAAUGAUGUCAAUGAACAAAAUGUCAAAGACCCAAUCCAAGUGGAUGGUGUUGGUGCCAUUCGUUUACCUCCGGCUGAAGGAAACGUUGAUUUUCUCAUCACUAGCACAAUGCUUCAGCUCUUACAAUUGAAUGGAUUAUUUAAAGGGAUGGCUCAUGAGGAUCCCCAUGAGCAUAUCAUGAACUUCGUGGAUGUUUGUGGACCGUUCUCAUUUAAGAACAUAUCACAAGAAUCGGUCCGUCUCAGGUUGUUUCCAUUCUCUUUGAUGGGUGAAGCUACUAAGUGGUUGGCUGAGUUACCGAGGGACUCCAUCACCUCUUGGGAUGAACUGACCACAACAUUCCAAGUGAGAUUCUUUCCCCCAUCGAAGAUGAUGACUCUAAGAGAUGGCAUCCAAGGUUUCUAACGCUUGGAAGGUGAGCCAAUCCAUGAGACAUGGCUGAGAUUUAAGAAGCUUGUGCUUUAGUGCCCAACUCAUGGACUUCCAAAUACUGUGUUGCUGCAACACUUUUAUUUGAGUCUCGAUUCGGUGAACAAAGGAGUGGCUGAUUAACUUUCCCCUGGUGGUAUAAUGCAACAGCCCUAUGAAGUAGCAACCCAACUCCUUGAUUGCAUGACAUAGAUUAAUAGGGCAUGGUACACUCGUGAAGACCAAGUCUCUCCUCUCACUUUUAAAAUGACAAAAGCGCAGAUCGCAAAGGACCAAGAGAGAGACCAGAACAUGGACAAAAUAAUUACCCAGCUAGAUAUCUUGGCUAAAAAUGUCAUUGGUGUUGGUACAAAAAGUGUUAAUGUUGUGAGUGUUGGUGGAGUAAACGCCAAUGAAGCACGAUUUAAAGCGAUGUACAAUGAGGAAGUGAACUUCCCAGCCAAUCAAGAAGGAGGUUAUCAUGCAAACUACCUAAGACCAAGUGGAAAUCAAGGUUGGAAUAGAGAUGAGGGCUGGAGAGACCGUGAUAGAGAUUGGCGUGAUCGUAACGCCACCUGGAAGAAAGAGACAGGGACAAGGACAUGUAUGUCCUUCCCCAUGAGCGUUAAAAGCCCAAGGAAUCUGAAGGUGGCCGUACAGAAGAUAUUCUCUCACACAUUCUCAGCAGAGUUGAAGGGUCAGAAAAAGUGUUGAAAGAGAUGAAAGAGGAUGUCUCAACUCUAAAUCAGACGGUGACCUCUCACUCAGUCUCUAUUAAGAAAAUGGAGACCCAAAUGGAUCAAAUUUCUUCUUAUUUGAAUCCAAGACAACAAGGGGGGUUGCCUAGUGACAAAAUGGCAAACCCCAAAAAUGAAGCUUGGUUUAGUAUACUCAUCGUGCGAGGACGUUAACUAAGGCGCUCCUUGGGAGGCGACCCAAGUUUUUAAUGCUUUAGUUUUUUUAUUUUGAAUAAUGGGUGUUGAUUUUGCAGGUUGAAAAGUGAAGAGUUUUGGAAAAUGGGUAGUUUGGCGAGCCCAGAGUCCAUUAGGCGGCACGCUGAACAGGUCGGCAUGCCCCGACUUGGACCGCUGUUAGACCCACCAAGCUUGAAGGGGAACUUUGUAAAAUUCGGCGGGAAAAAUUCUUGAUCGGCGACCCACUAAACAGGUCAGCGAUCCCGAUUUUGUCCGUCGUUUGUGUUACGACCCGGAAAACUAGUAGGUGAAACUAAAGUCUUACGAGUGUGUUGUUGAGUUUGAUGUGGGGUUUUAUGUUGUAAAAUGAGUUCCCGAGCUUAGGUUUAGGGGUUCAGGGGUUAAACGUCAAGGUACGACCCCCCAAGGACCAACCAAGGGUCCUUGAGGAGGACCCUAAAGCCUAACCCCAAGGCUGCCCCAAGAACCAAAAAAAGCUGUCAAAAAUCAUAGGACCUACGGAUCAGACCUAUGCCCAGUAGGUCAAUCCACUCCCCGUAGGGCUUGGUCGUAGGUCAAGAACUCUAGAUGAGGAGUCUCUGAACCAAACCACAGACCUUUAGGACGGGGCAUCACCCCACUCACCGUCCGUGGGUUGGUAGGCGUGAGUCUUACUUGGAAAUCUGCCCUAGCUCGGCUACUUGAGGGGCAACUUAGUAAAUUCCUAGGGUGGUUAGUUGAGUUAGGGGUCGGUUUAUUUUGAUUAUUUAGAGUUAUUUAAGGCUUUUUAGACUAUUAAACACCCUUUUACAAUUCGUUAUUCCCAAAAACUCAAAAAUAGAAACUAGCUCCUCUCAAAAUAAUUCUCUCUCUAGAAACCUCCAUUGGAGAAGAAGAAGUCAAGGUUUGGAGUUCAAGAGUUCAUAUUUCUCACUCAAUUUCGUGGAGUUUCUUCAAUCAAGGUAUAGUAGUUUUCAUCUUUGGGUAGAUUCCACCCAAUGAUUCCUUCUAAACAUGAUUUCAAAGCUUCCAAUUUCCCCCAAAAGAUAGGGUUUCAAUCUAAGUCACGGGUUCAGCUUCAAAACGUUUUCAAUGAUUGUUUUAUGGUGAAUUAUUAUUGAAUUGAGGAAUUAAUGUUGAUUUAUGAUAAAAAUUCCCCCAUGAACCCAUGAUUCCCCCAAAAUACUAAAUUGUGAAUUUGUUGUUUGGGAUUGAUUGAUUAUGGAAGCAUAUGAAGAGAUUAAGUCUAUAUUGAUUUAGUUUAUUGAAUUAUGUCAUUAUUAAUUCCUAAAUUGUAGUAUUCUAGGUUUUUUGGUGAAUUGUGAUUCAUGGCCUUGAAGGGGCAAAGUAUGAAGAAUUGAUGUAUAAUCGUGAUGCUAUGUAAAUGCUUUGUGAUUUCAAUGAAAGUAAUGUGAUCAUGUCUACAAUGCAAUUGUGUUAUUAUUGGAAGAGUAUGCUCAAUUAUAUACUUAUGAAUGAUGAUGAUAUAUGUGAAAGGUUUCUUCAAUGUAAUGAUACAUCUUGAAUUGGUAGGGUUAAGGCAUCCUCUUCUUGUGUACCUAAUGUAUCUUGAUUUAAUGAACAUUGAAUCGGUAGACCUAAUGGUGGUAGCCCUUUCAUAAAUGAUUAAUGAAGUAUUCUAAUGAAGUGUCUUGGAUCGGUAGGUUAAUGGCACCCUUCCAUGUAUGUUUAUAAUGAACUUUGGAUCAGUAGGCUAAUGGCACCCUUCCAUGAAUGGAAAUGAUGAACCUUGAAUCGGUAGGCUUAUGGCACCCUUUUAUGAGGAUUCAAUGAGCUUUCCUAAAAAUGUACCUUGAAUCGGUAGGCUUACGGCGCCCUUUCAUGUGUUAACUAAUGCACUUUGAAUCGAUAGGCUUAUGGCGCCCUUUCAUGCAUUAAUCAAUGUAACUUGGGUCGGUAGGCCAAUGGCACCCUCUCAUGUGUAAUACUGUUUAUAAGGAUGAACUACUCUAUGGGAAUGUAAGCUUAGCACCGAGUGGAUAUGGUAAAAUGGUAGCUCUGCCCAUGUUUAGCUCGGGUUUCAAUGAACAUCUUCCUUAUCCCAUAACUAUGUACCUGCAUAGUUUAUUUGCUAGUGGAUCCACCUAAGCUAAAAUGUUACCGGUCCUACCUUAGACAAGUAGACCAACCCUUUACGGUGUGAAUUAGACACCGAAUUCCAUGAGUUGCUCACAUGGUCUAUAUCGGUUAAUGCUUAUUCCCAUCAUGUGAGUUAUGUGCUAUGGUUACUUGAGAGGUUCUAUGAAGUGUGGGUGGUAGUAUGGGAUGCCAUCCAUGCAUUGCACAAGUAGGCUUUGAGAGAGCUAUGGUGUGUUUAUCUAAUGUCCUAAUGUGUAAUGAAAUGAAUGUGCUCCUAAUGAAGCUAAUGGGAAUGUUGACUUAAAGGCUUAAUGUAAUGAUGCAUGCUUAACUUGGAUUGUUAUUAUGAGUGGCUUUCCUUGUCAUGACUUAUUAAAUGUGAUGAUCCUUAUGCAUGAGUAUUGACUAAAGAUGAGUAUGAAUAGUGGUAAGUUCAUCUAUGGUGGCCUCAAAGUGGUACUUAGUAAGAGUAGUAUGAGAUGCUAUUCUUACAUUGCACAAGUAUAGCAUAGGGUUACUUAAGCUGAAAGUACUAAUGUGUUGUAAUGGCUUAUAUGUUGAAUAUGUUGUAUCUUAUGCCUUUUGUACUAAAGUUCAUGAUGUUUUCUCAAAUUGGCAUUUAGCAUGGUUUUCAACCAAAAUGUCCUUUUUAAAGCAUGCUUUUUGCAUGGCUAUCAUACUUCGUACAUUUUUGUGUGCUAACCCAUAUUUCUUCUAGUUUACUACAAAGUGUAGGUUCCGGCAUUUGAAGUGAUCCUUCUAGUCGAAGCUUGGAUCAAUUUCUUCCAAAGCUUGUGGUGUGUCCUCAUGGAUCCGAGGACAAGUGCUUUAUUGAUAUUUCAUGUCUUUCAUUGUACUAGAUACUUUUUAAACUUUCUAUUGUAAAGGGCCGUGACCCUAUUUUGAGACCUCUAUUGUAGUAGAUGGCUAUGUGAGACUAUGUCUAGAUUUCCGCUGUUUUAAAUAAAGUUUUUAGAUUGUAUGGAUUGAAAGUUUUAAAUUCUGCACUAUUUCCUAUGUUCUUAUGUGAUGAUAUGGUAUGAGGCUUGUAUGAGAUUUUUUGGAGUCUUGUACGUCGUGUUACGUAUGGGGUGUAGGCUCGAGGUGUAACAGUUUGAACCCCUAAAUUGCUGGGAGUCCUGUAAACCUCGGUGAGGUAAAAUACCACUUGGCGCAUCGCCGAGUGGAUCGACAAUCACGACUUACCCCACAGAAGGUGCCGCGAACUGAAAGUUUUUAAAGGCCAAACGGUUUAAAAUUUCAAAAUCCUUCACCUUCUCUAAUUUCAAACUCUCGUACCCUCUCACAAUAUUGUUGAUCUUCAUUAUUUUAUCAUUUUGCCCACAUUUUUGUGUGAAUUCAUGCUCGAAAUUGGGGAACUUUGCCGCCUAGCUAUUCAAACUCUAAAUUUGGCAUACAUGUUGGUUUUCCGAACACCGUAGUUUAAGUUUGUUGUUGAACUCGAAUGCAAUAGGUAAAUUUAGUGUGGUUUGAUGUUGGGUAAUCGCUAUAAUUGUGUUUGAUGUGUCUAAUUGUCGUAUUUUGUUGAAAUGUGUGCCUAAAUGCUUUAAAAUUGAUCGAUUCCCGUGUUUUAUUUGUUAAAAUUGGGUUUAAAUUUUUGUGUUGUGGUUUAUUUGUGUUGGGUCUAGUGGGGUGAAAUCUAAGUAACCCCGAAUUGUGCCAAAUAAUGUAAUUUGCCCAAUGAUGAAGCGUUUGACGUCAUUCUUAAGGGCAAAGUCGUCAAAUAGCCAUUUUUGGCCAAAUCGAGGGAAGUCUGAGUACCCAGAGGCAUGGGUCUAACUUUAAUUGAAUAGUGUUUGUGUUUGAUUUUUAAUUCGGGGGCUGCAAGAUUGAUUUUGAAGCUUGGGGUUGAAAACUGUCCCGUUGGGCCGUUUGGCGAGCUUCGUCGAGUUCACCUAGUGAUUCGGUGGUUCGCCGUAGUCCCCCUCAUAUCGCCCUUAAUAUCAAAUUGUAGUUGAGUUUGUUCUAUAACUUUUGGUGAUAUGCAUGAGCUCGCCGAGUUCACUCAGCGACUCGUCGAAGGGUUUUCUUGAUCGCCCUUUCUGCUCCCCUAACCUUAAAAUACAUUGUAACUUUCGGUGAGCUACUUCUAGCUCACCGAUUGCUAUCGGAAAUUCCCUAAAUUGCCAUGAACAUCACUGACCUGUCUUGAUUCUAGAAAAUUUUUGCACUGGUACUUUCGGUGAGCCCGAUAUGGCUCACCUAAGUGACUCGGUGACUCACCGACUUGUUCGGUGACUCACGACUUGUUCAAUGAGUCUUUUGGCACCUAUAUCUAUGCAAUAUUUCUGGAGCUUUUUCUAACAUUAUCCUAUGUGUUUUGCAGGAAUGGCUAGAAUAAACUUGGAUGAUAGUGGCAUGCCACCCCAAAAUCAAGCACGAGGGAUGGUGAUAUAUGAGGAAGCAGUUGCUUCCAGCGCAAAAGGAAAGUAGUUACCUCCAAAGGGAGGCAAGGGUAAGGGAGAAGCGCCCAUAGCUGAGACAUCGGAGUACAACUCCGGCAGUGAGGGAGAGUCACAUGAUUCUCAAGCUUCAUUCUCUAAGCUUGAGGAUGACCAGUCAUUACAGGCCCGGCGAGCAGAGCUUCCUUCCAAAGCUCGUCAUGAUCCAUCUAGGAUUCCAGAGCUGACCUCUCAUUCUUCAGAUUCAGUGCCAGCUCCAGCAUAGACGGUGGUUUCAGCACCACCAGUUCAGGGUCCUCCUCCCGGGUUACUCAACCAGUUAAAGGCCGAGGGAUUGAGAACCAUCUUAGAAGCGAAAAUAUUGUCCACGAAUGGUGUAGUGGAAUGGCAUCCAAAUAUGUGGGACACUCUUUGGUUCCACAUAUUCGAUAUUUUCACCAGGCCCUGUGGCCCAUACAUUCCCACCUGGGUGCUGGAGUUUUAUGCUACUUAUGGUGAUCUGGUACCCCAAGGAAAGAAGAAGGCCAGUGCCUUCAGACUGGUAGAGUCUCUGAUGGUCCGAGGGAAGCAAGUGAGAUGCAGUAGUAAUGAGAUCAAUACUAUGUUUGAGAGAGCUACAUACACUGAGCACGAGUACCAGAGUUUGAUCACUACAAAGACUCUGGAUGACAUGAAGGGUUGCCUAGCCUCCUUGGUCUCUUACACCACCCUAAGGUGGAUUGAGGAUGGAAUGCCUAUAGAUAAGAAGGACAUGAACAUAGCAUCUUGGUAUUGGUUUGGAUUCAUCAACGGGAUAGUCAUGCCGUUGCAGAAUGAUACCAUUCUCUGCCACCCAAAUGUGGCCUAUCUCGGGUCUAUCAUAGUAAGAAAACGUCUGAAUUUGGGCUUGAUUAUUGAGCAAGAGAUGGCCAUGAGGGCCAAGUAGUGCCAGACGUCUAUUCCCUUUCUAGUACUGAUCACAGAGUUGUGCUGUCGGGCAGGAGUUUCUCGUGAUGAGAAGUGGGAUUUUUAUGUUUCACCCACAUCAUCCACCGACAUACGGCUCAUAGAGGCUGAGUAUGCACAAGAUGAGGCUGAUAAGAGGAGAGCAACUCCGGUGGAUACAUCCUCGGAGAUUGAUAUCGACACAUUACCUACAGAGCCAGCCUUGCCAACUCUGGCCUACGGGCCUUCAGGUACUUCUAAUUCCACUCCUUCCCAGACCCCAAGUUUGUCUGCUGCUCCCCGCUACCUAGAGCUACUGCUCGUUCUACUGCCUCCAGACAUCCGAUUACCCAGGCCAGGCUCCUUAAGAUGGGGCACUUAGCCCGUUCUACCGAUGUGAGAGCUUUCCGGCUAGAGGUCGAGGUUCCCUGGAUGAUUGAGAGAGCUAUUACUGCUACACUAACACCUCUCAGGGAGUCCAUUGAUGCUCUCAUAGUGAGAGUUGAGGUUUAUAAGAGAGGGCAGGGAUUACGGAGAUGGUGAAAGCUUUGAAAGUCGAUGUUUCUGAGGUGAGGAAGGAUAUGGACCAUCUGAAGUCCACUGACUUCACUUCACUUUUUGGGAUGGUGGAGAUCCCAGAUGAUCCGAGUGUUGAAGUUCCAUCUUGUUCUGAGGUACCUCCAGCUACCACCGAAAAUGAUACUAGGGCUGAUAUUAUUGCUGCUUAGUCCAAGGUCGAGACAGAUGAGGAGCAACUUGAGGUGCGAGAUGGGGUUUUUUAUGAGGACUUGGCUGAUCUAGAGGCUGUCAUGUUCGAAACAGCUUGACAGGCCUCCUUGAGAGAUACUUCUUUGGCAGGCUCCAGUAGAGCCAAUGAUGAGGAGACCCCGGGCACUAAUGCCCCGACAGAUGGAGCACUAAGAUGCAGAAGUCACCCUAGGCUUAGCCUGGCAGGAUUUUUCCCUCCCUCUCUAUUAUCUAGUGAUACUCUAUUCUUGUUUUAGUUGCAUUUAAGGAUAACUGCUUCUUUUUGUUGGGUGGGGUGAGGUAAUUCCAUGCCUACCUCUUGUGAUUUUAACUUGUUUGUGACUAUUGGGCUUAUUUUUGUUGAUAUAUAUGUGUUUUGAUAUUGAACUUGUGGAUGUUUUAGCUUGUGGCCCAUUGUUUUAACUGAAAAUGGUUUGGAACCUAAUUUCAAAUUUUUGCCGACUUUUUUGUGUGUGAUUGUGGUUGUUGUUCUUGUGAAAAUUUGAGUGUCAGUUGUGAUCAAUACCAAUGACUUGAAUGAUAUGAAUGUGCGGUUACAAUCAGGCAAACAAAGUUGCAUAGACAAUAUGUGAACUUUUAGCAUCUCGUUGUGACUAGCCGGUGUUCGAAUGAGUCUCUUGUGAUGAACUUUGCAUGCUAGCUAGAAGGUGUGGAGUCUUGUUUGAUGUUGGUACCAAAGCCUUGACUGAUGAGAUAACUUUGAAAAUUGUGUGUGAUGACACCUAGAAUUUUCCCCGUUGGUCCGGUUGAUUGAGUGAUGCAAGCACUUGAUAUGAUCUUAGGCAACCAUUGUGAAUAGUGAAAACAAUUUGACAAUAUACCUCUUUUGUGGUGAACAUUCUGAGAUGUGUGAACUUUUCUUGUCACCUUUUGAGCCUUGCCCUUUUUCUUGGAAGAAACUUGACCAAAUUGUGACUUCUCUUUGCCCAUUCAUCCAUAACUCUCAUGAAGUAUGUUUUGUUUGAAUAGUCAACUUAGGCCAAAAGUCUAAAUUAGGAGUGUGGUGAAAAGAGAAGGAAAGUCAAGAAGUGUGAAAAAUCCCCCUUUGUGUGAUUGAUUUGAAAAUGAUGAACCCAUCCAUGUAAAAAACAGAAAAGAGAAAAGAGAAAAGGAAUUGAAAACGAAGAAAGAAAAGAAAAAGACCGAAAAAUUUGUGAAAUAAAGUAGUGAAAAUUGCAAAAGAAAUGGGAUAUCCGGUGGGUCAUAUGAAGUUAAAUAAUGGGGUGGAUUAUGAGCAUGUUUGAAAUGAUUAAGAAAUGAAUGAAACUGAUGUUCUGACCAUCCUUCAUGAAGGUAGAAGCCACCAAGCCUAAAUGACCAUACCUUUGCACUCAGCCCCGUUACAAGCCUUGAAAAGACCUUUGUAAUCUUGAGUGAGCUGAAACGAAUGUUGAUUGGAAAAUAAGGGAAAAUAUAUGGGUGAAGUCAUGCAUGUGUUCAUCUUUGUGAGUGUGAGAGUUGUAUGUGAUUCCAUGAUUUUAAAUUGUUGAGAAAAUUUGUGUGAAUAUGGAAUCAUCUUUGGUGUGAGGGCAUUUGAGUACCUUUGUUGAGCUUGAACUUGCAUUUGAUGCAAGUAUUGUGAACUUGAGCAUCUUUGAUAAUGGUGAGUCACAAUUUGAACCUUUGAGUGCACAGUUGAUCAUUGUUUGAGUAAUUUGAACCUUGUGUGCAUUUAUGUUGAGUCUUAUGCAACACUAUUUGUAGACAUCCUUAUUGAACUGCAGAUCUUGAGUUUUACUUGAGGACAAUCAAAAGUUUAAGUUGGGGGUGUUGAUGAGUCCAAGAUUUGGACUUAUUUAGGGCUUUGUUUUGGUAGUUUUAGUGUCCUCAAAUGCUUAAAUUGUGCUAUAAACUGAUGUUAAAGCCUUGAUUUUCAGGUACGUGGACUAACGAGCAAAGUAAAGACACUAACAGGAAAAAAAGAACAAAACAAGUUGAAGAAGUGGAGAAAAGCAAUCUUGGUUAUCGCCAAGACCACUCGGCGAAUUGCCAAGUGGCUCUUCAGACCGCCCAAAGUUCCAGUGUGCCAGCCCAGAAGAAAGAAACCAAGUUGGCCACAAAAAAAGGAAAUUCGCUAAUCGCCGAUCAGUUCCGCAAUGACAAGAUGGAUCUCCCAAAGUUAUAGGACUUGAGGAUGCUGAGAACCAAUGCAUAACGGUGAUAGAAGAGAGCCAAUGGUGUGUCGCCGAACCACUCAACGACCCCGACUUACCUCACUGAAUGGCCUUUCAUGGAUAAUUUUUGGGAAACUAUAAAGGAAAUUCUAGAUGUAAUUUUAAGGAGCUCUUACACAGUCCUCUUCUAGAUACUAAAGUUCCCAUUCUAGACUUAGAGUUUUCUCUAGAUUUUUGAGUUCAAAUUGUACAAUUUUGGAGGAUUUUGCAUGUGGGUUACUAAUUUUAUUCAAUUUGGACCAUUGUAAAGGCUUGGAUACUCUUACCCAUAUGAUGGCUAAUGCAUUUGGUAACCGUUUUUCUAUUUUAUGAUGUGUGGCUAAAAUGCUAAUUCUUGGGGUGUGAUUAUGUGAUUAUGGGUUGAAUUAGCUUAUGGGUAUUGCUUAUUACUAAUUUAAAUGUUAUAUUGAAGUGGGUUUAAUCACUAGCUAUGUUUUUAUUUAUGAAUUGUAGUUGCAAAUGCAGUUCUAACUUUAUGUUCUUGGCUUGCUCGAGAGAGAGGUUUUGGAACCAAAGCUUUCGAUUAAUGGUUUAUGGGUAUUGGGUUGGUCUGGGUUCUGCUCGAGAGAGUGAAUACUAAACCCUAUCCUACCCAUCUUUCUCGGGAGAGAUGAUGUAUUAAGGUUGUGGGUUGUUCUUAUAUGUUAAGCUUGUUGAUGUUCAAGAGAAAUCACUUGAACUGAAGUAGUUGUUCGAGAGAAAGCUAUUUCACUCAUAGCCCAGACUACCCACUAAUAUUUAGCUAAUUAUUAGUAGUUUCAAUUACCCAUAUAGCAAACUUUGCCUAUAAUUGAUCACAUCCCGAGAACUCAUCUUUAUAUUGUUAUUUCAGUUUUGUGUGAUUGCUUUGUACCUGAUAAUUGCAAACCAAUUUCCCCUAUUUGAAUUUUGUUGUCACUCCCUGUUUGACUUGUUUACAUGUCUUUUUCGAUAAUUUCUAUUCCUAUAGCUGAUUGGAUCACAUUUGUACUUCCUAAUUGAAUUUGAACACGUACCGCUCCCUGUGGGUUCGACCCCAACUCUUUGUUGGGUUUUAUACUGCUUAACGAUCGUUUACACCUAGAAUUGGAUGAGGUGUGCUUGAAACGUUAAUCACCUAUGAGGUUUGAUGUUCUUCCGGAUGUGUUGUUAGAUCUUUUUUCGUUCUGUACUCAUGUUGGUGAUUCUAUUAUGGCUAAGAGGAUCUAUAGAAAGUGUCAUGUUUCCUUGUCCCAUAGAGUUAUUCUUGUUGACUUGGUAGACCUUGAUAUGCUAGAUUUUGAUAUUAUCCUUGGUAUGGAAUGGGUGCACUCGUGUUAUGCUUCUUUCGAUUGUAGAACUCGUGUGGUUAAGUUUCAGUUCCCGAAUGAGCCUGUCGUACAGUGGAAAGGGGGAAAUUCUAUGCCUAAGGUUCAGUUUGUCUCUUAUCUUUAAGGUAGAAAGAUGAUUUCUAAGGGUUAUAUUUACCAUAUAUUUAGGGUGAGGGACGUGGAUUCUAAGACCCCUACUCUCGAGUCGGUCCCCGUUGUUAAUGAGUUUUCGAAAAUGUUCCCUGAUGAUUUACCUGGUAUUCCUCCCGAGAGAGAAAUAGACUUUAGUAUUGACCUUAGAACCCAGUAUGGUCAUUAUGUGUUUUUGGUGUUGUCGUUUGAUUAGUCUAAUGCUCCGGCGACGUUUAUGGAUUUGAUGAAUAGGGUGUUUAGACAAUACCUUGAAAUGUUUGUGAUUGUGUUCAUUGAUGAUAUAUUUAUCUAUUCAAGGAGUGAGAAUAAGCAUAUUGAUAAUUUGAGGAUCGUGUUGCAAGUUCUUAAGGACCGACAACUCUUUGCGAAGCUUAGCAAAUGUGAGUUUUGGUUAAGGUCCGUAGCUUUCCUUGGUCAUACUUUUUCAAGGAAGGGUAUUGAGGAAGAUCCUAAGAAGGUGGAUGCGAUCAAGAGUUGGCCUAGAACUCUAACCCCUUCGGAUAUUAGAAGUUUCCUGGGUUUGGGCGGUUACUAUAGAAGGUUUACUGAGGGAUUCUCUUCAAUUGCCUCUCUUUUGACGGCUUUGACUCAAAAGAAGUCUAAGUUCAUAUGGUCUGAAGCGUGUGAGAAGAGUUUCCAAGAGUUAAAGGAUAGACUUACUUCCGCUCUGGUGUUGACUUUACCGGAAUAGACUAAUGAUUUUGUUGUCUAUUGUGAUGCCUCGAGAAUUGGGUUACGGUGUGUGCUUAUGAAAUAUAUGAAAGUGCUUGCCUAUGCCUCAAGACAACUUAAGAUUCAUGAAAAGAAUUAUCCUACACAUGACCUUGAACUAGCGGCAGUUGUUUUUGCCUUAAAGAUUUGGAGGCAUUAUCUGUAUGGUGUUCAUGCAGAUGUGUUUACCGACCAUAAAAGUUUGUCAUAUUUGUUUAAUCAGAAAGAUCUAAAUCUUCGCCAAAGAAGGUGGCUUGAUUUAUUGAAAUAUCAUGACACAAGUGUUCACUAUCACCCCAGAAAGGCAAAUGUGAUGGCGGAUUCUCUUAGUCGGUUAUCUAUGGGAAGUGUUGCUCAUAUUGUAGAAGAAAAGAAAGAGUUGGUUUGACAUGUUCAUAGAUUGGCCCGAUUGUGUGUUCGGUUAAUGGACUCUACCAAGGGUGGUGUUAUGGUCCACAAUGGUUCAGAAUCGUCUUUAGUGGUGGAUGUGAAAGCCAAGCAAGGUCUUGAUCAAAUUUUGGUUGACUUAAAAGAAGUGGUGCUUAAGAAAUCCAUUGAGGCUUUCUCCCAAGGGGGAGAUGGCGUACUUAGAUAUCAAGGUCGUUUAUGAGUUCCAAAUGUUGAUAACUAGAGGGAACGAAUCUUGUCUAAAGCCUAUAGUUCUUGGUAUUCCAUUCACCCGGGAGCGACCAACAUGUACCAUGAUUUACAGGUGGUCUAUUGUGGAAUGUGAUGAAAAAUGAUAUUGCAGAAUUUGUGACUAAGUGCCCUAAUUGUCAACAAGUAAAAGUUGAGCAUCAUAAACCGGGAGGUUUAUCCCAAGACAUUAGUAUUCCUACUUAGAAGUGGGAAGAUUUGAACAUGGACUUUAUUAUUGGUUCGUCGCGCACCCGACGACAACAUGACUCAAUUGGGGUUAUAGUAGAUCGGAUGAUGAAAUCGGCUCAUUUUUUUCCCGUCGAGGUUUCCUAUUCGGCUGAGGACUAGUCCAAGUUGUACUUGACAGAAAUGGGAAAUUUGCAUGGAGUGCCUUUGUUCAUUAUUUCUGAUCGUGGUACCCAAUUCACUUCUCUAUUUUGAGUGUCUUUCCAAUAGGGUCUUGGUACUCAUAUUAAGCUUAGUACAACCUUUCUUCCCCAAACCGAUGGGCAAGCAUAGCUUUCUAUCCAAACUUUGGAAGACAUGUUAAGGGCUUGUAAGAUUGAUUUUAAGGGUAAUUGGGAUGACUAUUUGCUAUUGAUUGAGUUUGCUUAUCACUCAAGUAUUGAUAUGGCUCAAUUUGAGGCAUUAUAUGGUACGAGGUGUAGAUCUCCUAUACGAUGGUUUGAGGUGGGUGAAGUUUCCCUAAUAGGUCCCUAGGUUGUACAUGAGGCCAUAGAGAAAGUUCAACUUAUUAGGGAAAGGGUGAGAACGGCUAAAAGUGGACAAAAGUCAUAUGCCGAUGUAAGAAGAAGGAAUUUUAAAUUUGAUGUGCAUGAUUAGAUUUACUUGAAAAUUUCACCCAUGAAUGGUGUAAUGUGUUUUUGUAAGAAAGGGAAGAUUAGUCCUUGAUAUAUAAGCCCAUAUCAUAUUUUGAGACGCGUUGGUAAGGUUGCUUAUGAGCUAGAUUUGCCAAAUGAGUUGCCAUCAGUGCAUCCAGUUUUCCAUGUCUCUAUGUUAAAUAAAUGUUUUGGUUAUCCAACAUCCAUAGUUCCAUUAGAAGGUUCGGGAGUUAAAGAGAAUCUUUCUUAUGAAGAAAUUCCGAUCGAAAUUUUAGACCGCCAAGUCAAGAAGUUCAGGAAUAAAGAAGUAGCUUCCAUGAAAAUGUUGUGGAGGAAUCAGUUAGUUAAGGGUGCUACUUGGGAGGCUGAGGUCGAUAUGAUGUCCAGAUAUCCUCAUCUCAUUCCUUUUACUCCUCCUCUAGCUUGAGGUAAUGAGUUUCUCAUGGUUUUUUCAUUUUUGGAGUCAUGUGUCUUGUAUGUUUCCAUGAUUUCCUUACUAUGCAUGAUUUAUGAAAGGUUCAUGUUUUGAGAAAAUGAGUCAAUUUGAUUGAUUUCUACAUGUUUAUAUGCACAUGAGUAUGAAUUGCAUGUAGACUACUUGAUAUGAUGCGGUGAGCAUGCCUUUAGCUUAGAGUUGAUAUGUAUUCCUUGAAUAUAUGCAUUUGAGUAUUUUUUUUAUCUUAGAGUUGAUGUUCCCUCCUCGAAUGUUAGCUUGGAGAUGAUGUUUUCUCCUCGGAUAAGUUCAUUGCAUGCAUGAUGGGCAGUUAGAUUUAGUUUCACCCCUCUUAUAAUGUUUUGAUUACGUCUUAGCUUGGAGUCGAUACUUCCGCUUGGUUAUAUACAUUGCAUUGAUGGUUGGGUGGUUAGUUCUUCUUCUACUCUCUUCGUACUAGCUUGAAUCUCCUUCAAGGAAGAAUGAUCCCAAGGGGGAGAUAUUGUAACACCUCGGAUUCAAAAAGGGUAAUAAGGCAAGUUUCAGAGAUUUCAGUUAUCAGCCACGAGGGCCAACCACGGCCCAUGUAUGGGAUCACGAACCAUCGGUAUGGCUCGUGAACUGGGUGAUGAGUUUGAGAUUUUGACUCAUUUACGGCUUUUUUUUGAUAGUUUAAGUGUCCUCAAAUGUCUAAUUUAUACUCUAAACUGAUGUUAAAGUGUUGAUUUGCAGCUAUGAAGGCUAAGGAGCAAGGCAAAGACAAUAUCGGGCAAAGAAACGAACAACAAAACUAAAGAUCGCCAACCUCACUCAACGAUCCACCUAGUGGCCUCCUCACUCACCAAAAGUUACAGUAUAUCAUUCCUCAUAUGAGAGAAAUUGGGCGAAGGAAAAUCCCUAUCGGUGACUCGCCGAUUGGAUCGGCGAAGAGAAGUUAGACCACUGAUUCUUACAGAACAAUUAAUGAUGAUGCAAGCAACACGGCGAUCCAAGAGGGAAAACGGCUCAUCGUGGAAUCCAUUGGGCGAUCUGAUAUAGACCGCCUAAAGUCACAGUGUGCAGAGGAUGAAUACUCAAGACAAGAAGGUGAUGGACAUGAGCGAUUGGUGACUCACCGAUGAGUUGGCGAAGCAUGACUUACCUCCCCGAAUUACCCCAAAGGCCAAAUUUUGGAAAGAUAUAAAUUGAUUUUUGAAAUUUGAGAAGGCAUCCAAUCAUUGCGAAAACUCAGUCUUAGAACGAAAGAACUAUUGUUAUUAAUUUUGAAGCAUUUUUCAAGUAGAUUUUGAAUUGGGUUUUGUAAUUGAAGCUACGUUGAAUCAUUUUAAAGGUUUGGAAAUUAAUACCCUGCCAUGGAGAAUGUUGUAGGUAUUGAAUUCUUACUUUUUAUGAUGACUAGCUAAAACCUCCAUUCUUGGAGGUAUGACCAUAUGAUUAAUUGUCCAAUUUAGUCGAUGGGUGUUAGUGAUUAUUGAGUUUAUUACUUUUUUGAAGUGGGUUUGAUCUAUAGCUAUUAUUAAAUUGAUAAAUUGGAAUGUUUAUUUCAAUUGCACUUAGUGUUUUAUGCUUGCUUGAGAGAGAGGUGUAAAGCCAUGGUUAUAAAUUAGCAUUUGUAAAUAUUGGGUUGUUGUGGGUUCAGCUUGAGAAAGUGAAUUCUAAGUUCAAUUCUACCCAUCUAGCUCUAGAGAGUAGAUAAAAUGAGGUAUUGGAUUGUUUAUCAUGUUAAGCUUGUUGAGGUUCGAGAGAACUCACUUGAACCGUAAUAGUUGUUAGAGAGAAAACUAUUACAGCUGUGGUCCAGCCUACCCACUAAGAUCGAGAAACCCUUAGUUAUCAUGGGAGAGGGGGGGCAACCAAGUGGUUAGUAGGGAUAUCGAGGGACUCCAUUUUAUCAUGGGAGGAGCUUACCGAGGCAUUCUACAUAAGGUUCUUUCCACCCUCAAAUGGUAAAAUUAUGUGACAACAUCCAAAACUUCAAGCGAGUAGAAGAGGAACCGAUUCAUGAAACUUGGCCGAGGUUUCAAAAGUUGCUAUUACAUUGUCCUACUCAUGGGCUUUCGAGUGAUGUGAUACUUCAAUAUAUCUACCGGAGUUAAGAAUCAGUGAACAAAGGAGUAGCCGACCAGCUGGCUCUGAGAGGAAUAAUGUUACAAUCAUUUGAGGUAGCCUCGUCCCUUCUUAAUGAAAUGAGAAAGAUCAAUUAGGCAUGGUACACUCAAGAGGACCAAGUUUCUCCCUUAAACUUUAGGAUGACAAAAGAGCAACUUGACAAGGAGAAAGAGAGGGACGACAAUAUUAGCAACAUGAUGUCCCAAAUGGAUUUGUUACAAAAACAAGUGCUAGAGAAGGUUGGUGAAACCAAAGAAGUCAGAAGAGUGUUUAGACUUGAGGAGGGUUCUCACCCGAGCUACUUAAAGGAGUGUGGGAAUAAGGUUGGAAAUUGCAUAAAGAAGAAGUGCGGAGAUGAUACAAUAAAGAUUGGACUGAACAUAAUGAUUCUUGGAGGAAAGAAGAGAGUCAUGAAGAGUACCACACAUAACCAAGUGACAUUCGAGAUCAAAGGGUAGUUCGGGUAACCCACGACUGGAUGAAUUAUUGUCACGUAUACUAGACAAGGUUGAAGGAUCUAAUGACAUGCUUAAGGAGAUGAAAAUUGAUUUCUCAUCAUUGAAUAAUAGAGUGAAUUCUCACGCAUAUGCAAUCAAAAAACCUGAGGGUCAACUGAGUCAACUUUCAGCACAAAUGGAACCUAAGGUAUUUUCAAGGGGUGAGGCUGAGUGUGCAACAACUCUGAGGGCUUAUGGUGACAAAUAUUUGGCGGUUGUAACUCGAAGUGGAAAUAGCGGUUGGUAAUGUGAGGGAUAAUAAUAGGAUGAAUGCUCACGAAGAAGAGAACGAUAUUAAUGAGGAAGAGAAGUUCGUUCAACCACUGGGGAGUGAUAUGCUCAAAGAGAAGGAGUACAAUCCUAAGCAAAGCCCCACAUGUGAGUUAUAAAAAGAUAAAGAAAAGGCUACCUCAACUCCAAAGAUAGUGCAACCUCUACACAAAAUAGUUCCUCCAUUUCCUCUCUGUCUUAAAAAUAAAAAUGAGGAUUAAAAGUUCAGAAGAUUCUUAUCCUUGUUCAACACACUUUCUAUAAAUCUUUCAUUAGUGGAAGCAUUAUGGGAGAUGCCAGGAUAUGCAAAAUUCAUGAAGGAGUUGGUCACCAAGAAGAGAAGCAUGGACUUCAAAACAAUCAAAGUUUCUCAUAAUUGUAGUGCCAUCAUGACUACUGAGAUUAUUACAAAGAAAGCGGAUCUUGGGGCUUUCACUAUCCCAUGCACCAUUGGUGUGCUUCAAUUUGCUAAAACUUUGUGUGAUUUUGGGGCAAUUAUAAAUUUGAUGCGCUACACAAUCUUUAAAAAACUUGGGCUGGGUGAACCAAAAUCCACAACAAUGCGGCUUCUUAUGGUGGACCGGUCGAUCAAACACUAUGUUGGAAUACUAUAUGACAUAUUGAUGAAGGUUGAUUAAUUGAUCUUUACGGCUUAUUUUGUUAUUCUUGACUGUGAGUUUUAUGGUGAAGUUCCUAUUAUUUUGGGUAGACCAUUUUUGGCAACCGAAAGAGCUCUAAUGGAUGUUCAAAGUGGGAAGUUGAUAUUCCAGGUAAAUGAAGAUGAGGUUACCUUUAAUGUGUGCAAAUCAAUGAAGCAACCUAGUAAUAUUCAUGUAGUCUCAAUGAUUGAUGUGAUUUAUGAAGCGGUGUCUAGUGUGAGCGAAAUAAUGUGUAGGGUUGAGCCUCUUGAGGCUGUUCUUUCGAAUUAUGAUGAAACCGAAGUUAAAGGAUAUGAUGAAGUGGUCGCUGACCUAUCGGGAUUAGAUGGAUACUCAAGAAACCCAUUCAAGCUAGACAUUGAUCUAAAGAAUCAAGAGAGUCCUCCCGCUAAACCAUCCACAAAGGAACCACCAAAGCUUGAGUUGAAAGUUCUCCCCGCUCAUCUUCGGUAUGCAUUCUUGGGGGAAAAUAAUACCUUGUACGUUAUCAUUGCAGCUGACGUGCUUGAAUGGCAAGUGGAAUUGCUUCUUGAGGUGUUGAAAAGAUACAUUAAAGCCAUUAGAUGGACUAUCGCUGAUAUUGUAGGUAUUCCAUCCGGAAUUUGCACAAACAAAAUCUAGUUGGAUAGCGAGUGCAAACCAAGUGUUGAGUAUCAAAGAUAACUAAACCCACCUAUGCAAGAGGUGAUGAAGAAAUAUAGCAUUUAAUGGCUAGACGGAGGUGUAGUAUAUCCUAUUGCGGAUAGCAAAUGGGUGAGCCCAGUGCAAUGCGUACCCAAAAGGGGAGGCAUCAUGGUGGUCCCGAAUGAAAAAGGAGAACUUAUCCCUAUGAGGCCGAUCACCGAUUGGAGAGUAUGCAUGGAUUAUCGAAAGCUCAACUCUUGGAUCGAGAAAGAUCAUUUUCCAAUGUCGUUUACGGGUCAAAUGCUUAAUCGACUUGCAGGGUGUGGAUGGUACUGUUUCUUGGAUGGCUACUUUGGGUACAACCAAAUCUCUAUUGCACUAGAAGACCAAGAGAAAACCACUUUUACAAGACCCUACGGGACUUUCACCUUCAAGAGGAUUCCAUUUGGAUUAUGCAAUGCUCUAGCGACAUUUCAAUGGUGCUUGCUUUCGAUUUUCGCUGAUAUGGUGGAAGAUUCAAUUGAAGUGUUCAUGGAUAACUUUUCAGUUGUAGGUGACUCAUUUGAGACAUGUUUGGCUCAUCUUGGGCGGGUCCUUCAAAGGUGUGUAUAAACCAACUUGGUCCUUAAUUGGGAAAAAUUCCAUUUCAUAGUCAAAGAAGGCACAGUCCUAGGUCACAAAGUGUCAUAGAAGGGACUGCAGGUUGAAAAAUCAAAGAUCAAGGUUAUUGAGAAGUUACCACCACCUAUAUGUGUUAAAGGCAUUCAAAGGUUUUUGGGGCAUGCAGGGUUCUAUAGAAGAUUUAUCAAGGAUUUUUCAAAAAUUGCACACCCAUUGUGUAAGCUAUUGGAGAAAGAGGCGAAGUUUCUUUUUGAUGAUGCUUGCUCAAAAGCUUUUGAGUGUUAUAAUCUCUACCCCAGUGAUCAUUAGCCCGGAUUGGUCCGAACCAUUUGAAGUGAUAUGUGAUACAAAUGGUACCUCUCUAGGAGUCGUGUUAGGGCAAAAGCGCAACAUGCUCUUUCAUCCAAUUUAUUAAGCCAACAAAACGCUAAAUGGAGCAUAACAUAACUACACAGUUACUGAACAAGAACUAUUAGCUGUAGUUUAUGCAUUUGAGAAGUUCAGGGAAUACUUGUUGGGUACUAAUGUGAUGGUUCAUACUGAUCAUGCAGCAUUACGGUAUUUAAUGGCAAAGAAAGAGGCUAAACCGAGGUUGAUCAGGUGGGUCUUGUUGUUGCAAUAGUUUGAUUUUGAAGUAAAAGAUCGAAAUGGGUGUGAAAAUCAAGCGACAUCAUUUAUCACGGUUAGAAACCAAUGUGACCAACCCCAAGGAAACGGAUAUUAUGGCUGAGUUCCCAGACGAAACAGUGAUAAGGCUAACUCAAAGCAACAUCCCUUGGUAUGUUUAUCUUCCUAACCAUAUGGUAUGUGGAAUUAUGCCGGAGGAUUUGAACUCUUAUAUGCAGAAGAGGUUUUUGUUUGAUAUAAAGAAAUACUUUUGGGAUGAACCAUAUAUGUUUCGAGAAUGUGCAGAUUACUUCAUUUGUCGAUGUGUAUCGAAAGAAGAAGUCAAUGCCCUUCAUAAUGCGUGCCACACAUCACAUGUCGGUGGACAUCACAGUGGGGUGCGGACAGCAGCAAAAGUGCUUCACAGUGGUUACUAUUGGCCAUCUCUAUACCGAAAUGCGCAUGACUUUGUGAAACAAUGCAUCCAUUUCCAAAAACAAGGUGGGGUAUCAAGAAAGCAUGAAUUGCCUCUCAAUCCUCUCUUAGAAGUGGAGUUGUUUGUGUAACACCUCGUAGUUUAGUAGGUCAUCUAUGGUUAUGUUGAAGGCUACUGGUCAAGACUAGAGGGCAUGAACUAAGGCAAAGGGCCAAGGUUCAAGGCUUCCCCAAGCUUGCCAUGGCACUGUCUUGGACCACGAGAGACUUCACGGCUCGUGGUGGCCAUCACAGCUCGUGAGGCCACCUGUGGUGGUGAGGUAGUGAGCCCCUCAAGGCUGCCAAAGUUGCCCCCCUCCACACGAGCCACUUCACGGUCUGUGAAGGCCUAGAUGUCUCGUGGGAGUGGCCAUGGACAUGCUUUCACCUCUUGGAAACCAAGACCUCAAUACAUAGCCAUGGACCACUCCCAGUGGUCUUGACCACGGCUUAUGAUCCCUGUCGUGGUGUCUGGCACCUUGUAGCUUGCAAGUAUUUAUAAUCAAGGUAUGUUAGCUUAUUCAUCCAUGGAUUCUUCCAUUCAUGGAGUCCCCUAGAAUUCCCCAAUUUAAGUUAGGGUUUCUUCAAUAUUGUGGGUUAUGAUAGAUGUUGAUCCAAUUGAGUGAUUAUUGAUUGUUUAUGAUUGAGUUAGAAGUGAAUCAUGAUAUUAAGAUGAAAUUACAUGUUUUCUAUGGCUAACCCUAGUCUAAUUGAUGAAAUUGAAGUAAUGUGGGUUUAUGCCUUGUGAAGGGAAAUUGAGGAUUGAUAGAUGAUUUUCUAGAAUUGGUGAUAUGUAUAGUAAUUGUUCAAGAAUAGAAGCAUGUGAACAUGAAUUGAAUUAGAAUGUAGUACAUGUGAUGGAUCAUGACUAGUAAUGAUUAAGGUUGAGCCUUUAUGAUGAUAUAUGACUAGAAUUGCUUAAGAAUGAAGCAUGUGACUAGAAUGUCUCGUGAUCUAGAUAAGUAUGGUGAUUGUAAGAAGUAAAGCUUUAAGAGUAAGGCUUGUAGUCAUGAAUGUUGAUCACUAUGGGCUUUGAUAGUAAGGCUUGAAGUCAUGAAUGUAGAUCACUAGGGCUUUGGGAGUAAGGCUAAUAUAAUGAAGUAUGUAUGUUAAUACUUAAAGAGUGAAGCUUGUAUGAUCUUGGUAGACUACUAGUAGAGUUUUUGUGGACGGACAUUACCCACAUUACCUAUAUUAUGAAAGUAUGAGAUUAUGCAUGUUCCUGUAGAACCUAUGUGAAUGCUUUAUGAACACUUGAGAAUGAAGUGUCUACAAUUAUGAUAUAUAGUCUGUUGGUUGAAAGGUUAUUCUCAUGAACACAUAAUGAACAUUAUGUGAAAGGUUUUCUCGCAUAGAAUGAUUCUAGGUUGAAAGGUUUACUCAACUAAAAUGAAUCAAAGCAUGUUAGAGAAGAAUAACUUGAAGUUGUGAUAUAAGAUCCCUUCAUGUAUAGCUUGACUUGGUAUGGUAAGACCAUUUCAUGGUAGCCUAGGAUUGAGGAAUCAUACUCUCCUAAGGGUAGCUUGACCUAGCAUUAUAGAGUGCCUUCAUGGUAGUUUGAGUUAGUAGAUCUCAUGGUAGCGUAGGAUUGAGGAAUCAUACUCUCCUAAGGGUAGCUUGAACUAACAUGAUAGAAUGCCUUCAUGGUAGCAUGACUUAGUUAGGCCAAGACCAUUUCAUGGUAGCUUUAAAUUGAGGAAUCAUACUCUCCGAAGGGUAGCUUGCACUAGCAUCAUAGAAUGAUUGCAUGGUAGCAUGAGUUAGGUGGGCCAAGCCUAUUGCAUGGUAGCGAGGAUAGAGCAAUUGUACCCUUCCUUGUAUAGCUUGGACUUGUAUGAUAGUAUGAUCUCCAUGGUAGCUUCUCUUAGCAUAAUUUAGUUAUGUUAGCUAGAUGAUUAACUUGGUCUAUCCUAGUAGGGUGCUAUUCCUUGGUAGCCUUGAAUUGAUAACUUGUGAUCAUUCAUGUGUGAUGACUUUCCUUAUACUAAGAAGAGAAGUACCUCAAAUAAAUAGAGGCAAAUAGUAAGUAGGGACUAGUCCCCAACUAAUGAGUUAGUAUGAUAGCCUAAAGUGGUACUUAGUGUGGGUAGGAUUAUGGGGUCUUAUCCAUGCAUUGCACAAGUAUGACUUGAAUCUAAUUAUUAAUUAAUAUCUUAUAUGUUGUAUGAUUAGCUUGGAUUGUUGGUAUAAUUGCCUUCCAUGAUAUGUUGACUAAAGGUGAUAGUUCCCUUGUCUAUAUGAAGUAAGCUAAGGAUGAGAUCAAAGGAUGGUAAGUAUGAUUAUGAUGACCUAAAAGUAAUAUUGAGUGUGAAUGGGAUUAUUGGGUCUUAUUAUUGCAUUUCACAAGUAUAAUUUAAAGUUACUUAUGAAAUGGUUCUCUUAUGAUAUGAAGGUCUAAUUAGUGACCAUGUUAUGAAUAUGUGGUAUCUCCUAUGCUAUUGGAUUAUGCCUUAUGUUGAUAUAUGCUCAUGUUAUGACUAUGUUGGAGAUUAUGCUUAUGAAUAUGUUAUUUUUUCUUAUGCUUAUGGCUUAUGUCUUAUGUUGGCUAACCCUUAUGUUAUGUUCUUAUGAAGUUAUGCUAGCUAACAUAUUUAGUAUAUUUUGUACUAAUGCGUACUAUUGCCUAUAUUCUUAUCAAAUGUAGGGUCUGGCGAUCUUGAGUGCCAUUCUUGAGGCUAGGUUUCUAGUAAAGCAAAGGAGUUGAAGACUUGGUGAGUCCUCAUAGCAUCGAGGAUGUGAUCACCUUUCUCUUAUGUCUUUCUUUUAUAUAUUAGACACGUGUAUAGGCUGCGUCCUAAAGUUUUAUUCAAAUUUUAGUUUAGAUGGUUUGAGACAAAGUUUUGUAGACUUUCGCUUGCUUUUAUAAAGACUUCGACUGUAAAGAAAAGUUUGAAAAUUUCUGCAUCAUUUCUAUUGUUUUAUGUUAUGAUAUGCUAAGUGGCUUGUGUUUGGCUUUUAGCGAUCUAGUACGCCUUGUCACAUCUAGGUUGUACCUCUGGGUUGUGACAGUUUGAUGUUUGGGGUAUAGAUUUCAUAGGGUCGUUUGUGAGUUCUUUCAGUCAGAAGUAUAUUUUGGUGGCAGUUGAUUACGUGUAAAAGUGGGUCGAAGUAGUAGCCUUGCCCAACAAUAAGGGCAAGAGUGUGGUGAAAUUCUUGAAGCGAUAUAUUUUUGCACGAUUCGGCACCCCAAGAGCUAUCAUCAGUGAUGGGGGAUCUCAGUUUUGCAACUGUAUGUUCUCCUCGUUGUUAAGCAAAUAUGGUGUAAAACACAAAGUUGCAACGCCAUACCAUCCGCAAACAAGCGGUCAAGUGGAAGUUUCAAACCGGAAAAUUAAAAGCUGUUUAACAAAAAUGGUGAAUGUAAAUCGGACGGAUUGGUCUCGUAAAUUUGAUGAUGCUCUAUGGGCAUAUCAGACUGCGUUGAAAACACCAAUUGGUAUGUCACCAUACCAGCUAGUGUUCAGAAAAUCUUGUCAUCUACCAAUUUAGCUUGACCACAAAGCUUUAUGGGCAUUGAAGAUGCUAAACCUGAAUUGGGAAAAGGCUACAAAAGGGAGAGUAAACCAACUCCACGAAUUGGAGGAAUUCUGGUUGAGAACAUAUGAAAGUUCAGCCUUGUAUAAGGAGAAGAUAAAGAGUUGGCACGACACCAAAAUCCUUCAGCAUGAAUUCCAAGUCAGAGACUUUGUGUUGAUCUUCAAUUCUCGGUUGAGACUCUUUCCCGGUAAACUUAAGUCAAAGUGGUCAGGUCCAUUUAAGGUAACCCAAGUGUUCACAAACGGGGCAAUUGAAAUUGAAGGAAAAGAGGGCUCAACUUUCACAGUGAAUGGGCAGCGCCUAAAACUAUAUUUUGGAGAGUAUCAUGAUAUUUUGGUAAUCGAAGUGGUGUAUUUGGAAGAUGCUUUAAAGAAUUUCCAUGUCGUGCCACGACGUUUAAUAAGGUGUUUCUUGGGAGGCAGCCCAAGCGUUAGUUGUUUUGAAUAAUGUGUGCUAAUUGUGCAGGCAUAGGUGAUUUUGCAAUGGCAUGACCAUUUCGGUAGGCCGCCGAGUGGAGUCCACGAUCCCGACUUGGCUUGCCUUCUAGGCAUCGAAGGUAGACUAGAGAUUCUUGAAUAUUUGGUGAAGUAUCCAGACCACUCGGUGAUGCGCCAAAGAGAUUGGGUGAACCCGACUUUCACUGCCCUUUGCAUCAUCCAGAAGGGUCGGUAAUCUAGAAAUUUUGGUGACAAUUUAUGAACAUUAGACGAUGCGCCGAUGCUAUUUGACGUACCCGAUCUUGAUAGACUUUCGGUCCCAACUGGAGUGGUAACGUUCUCGAUAUUUCAGCGGACUGCAUGCAAUUAGGCGGUAAGUCGAAGGGUUCGGCUUAUCCCCAUGACUUCGCCAACUGGCCCGUAGUGAAGAAUCCUCAUAACCCUAUUCUUGUCGUUUAGUGCUAUCGUUUCUCUAUUUUUAUUUCGUGCUCGUUAAUUUUUACAUUUAGGACAAUGUUGGUUGUUUUUGGUGGGGUAGGGACUUUAUUAGGAAUACCACAUCUGGAUAUGUUUAAAUGAAUGAAGUUGUUCUCUUGCGAAUUUGAGUGUCGGUUGUGGUCAAUACCGAUGACUUGAAUAGUGCUCUCAGAUGAACGACAUAAAUGUGCGGCUACGUUGAGGGCAAAACUGAGUUACAUAGGCAAUAUGUGAACUUUUAGCAUCUCAUUGUGACUAGCCGAUUGUCGAUUAAGUCUCUUGUGAUGGACAUUGCAUGCUAGCUAGAAAGUGUGGAGUCUUGUUUGAUAAUCGUAUCGAAUGCCUUGUGUGGUGAGGUUGUCUUGAAAAUUGUGCUUGUUGACACCUAAAAUUUGUCAUGUUAGUCUGAUUGAUUGAGUGAAGUAAGCAAUUGAAAUGAUCUUAGACAUAAGUUUUGAAGAGUGAACCAAAUUGAUAAUACCUCUUUGUGGCCACCUUGUGAGAAUUGUGAACCUUCCUUGGCACCUUUUGAGCCUAUCCUUUUUCUUUGGAAGAAACUUGAACAAAUGUGACCUCUUUAUCCCAUCACACAUAACCUUUAUUAAAUAUUAGUUUGUUUGAAUAGCCAACUUAGACCAAAAGCCUAAGUUGGGGGUGUGGUGAAAAAGAAGGAAAGUCAAGAAGUGUAAACAAUUCCCCCAAAAAAAGAAGAAAAGAAAAAGGUGAAAAUGAAAAGGAUUGAAAAAGAUAAAAAGAUGUGAAAUAAAGUGUGUGAAAAUGGCAAAAGAAGUGGGGUAUCCGUUGAGUCAUGUUGAGAUUAAUAAUGGAGUUGAUUAUGAGCCUGUUUGAAUAUGAAAGAGAAGGAGGAAAAAUGCUUUUUCAUACCAUACUUCAUGAAGGCAGAAGCCACUAAGCCAAAAUGACCAUACCUUUACACCCAGCCCCAUUACAAGCCUUAAAAGACCUUUGUGAUCUUGAGUGAACUGAAACGAAUGUUGAUAGGAAAAUAAGGGCAAGACUAUGGGUGUAGUCAUGCAUGUGUUCAUCUUUGUGAGUGUGAGAGUUGUAGGUGAUUAUGGGAUCUUAAAGUGUUGAGAUAUUUUGUGUGAAUAUAGAAUCAUCGUUGUUGUGAGGGAAUUUGAAUACCUUUGUUGAGCUUGAACUUGCAUUUGAAACAAGGAUUGUGAGCUUGAGUAUAUUUGAUAAUGCUGAGUCACAAUUUGAAACUUUGAGUGCACAAUUGAACAUUGUACGUGUAGUUUGACCCUUUUGUGUACAUUUUUAUUGAGUCUUAAGAAACACUGUAGGUAGACAUCCUUGUUGAACUAAAUAAUCUUGAGUUUUACUUGAGGACAAGCAAAAGUUUAAGUUGGAGGUGUUGAUGAGUCCGAGAUUUUGACUCAUUUAGGGAUUUGUUUUGAUAGUUUAAGUGUCCUCACAUGCCUAAUUUAUACUCCAAACUAAUGUUAAAGUGUUAAUUUGCAGCUAUGAAGGCUAAGAACCAAGACAAGGACAUUACCGGGCAAAGAAAGGAACAACAAAGCUGAAGAGUGCCGACCUCACUCAGUGAUCCGCCGAGUGGCCUCCUCACUCACCGAAAGUUACAGUAUGCCACUCCUGAGAUGAGAGAAAUUGUGCGAAGGAAAAUCCCUAUCGGCAACUCGCCGAUUGGAUUGGUGAAGAGGAGUUAGUCCGCGGAUUCUUACAACAAUCAAUAAUAAUGCAAGCAACACAACGAUCCAAAGUGGCAAACGGCGCAUCGCGGAAUCCAUCGGCGAUUCGAUAUAGACCGCCUAAAGUCACAGUGCGCAGAGGAUGAAAACUCAAGACAAGAAGGCGAUGGACAGGAGCGAUUGGAGACUCACUGACAAGUAAGGGAAGCACGACUUACCUCGCCGAAUUACCCCAAAGGCCAAAUUUUGAAAGGAUAUAAAUUGAUUUUUUGAAAUGAGAGAAGGCAUCCAAGCAUUGUGAAAACUUAGUCUUAGAACGAAAGCACUAUUCUAGUUUAAUUUUGAAGCAUUUUUCAAGUAGAUUUUUAAUUAGGUUUUGUAAUUGAAGCUACCUUGAAUCAUUUAAAAGGUUUGGAAAUCAAUACCCAACCAUGGAGAAUGUCGUAGGUAUUGAAUUCUUACUUUUUAUGAUGACUAGCUAAAACCCCCAUUCUUAGGGGUAUGACCAUAUGAUUAAUUGUCUAAUUUAGUUGAUGGGUGUUAGUGAUUAUUGAGUUUAUUACUAUUUUGAAAUGGGUUUGAUCUAUAGUUGUUGCUAAAUUGAUAGAUUGGAAUGUUUAUUUUAAUUGCACUUAGUGUUUUAUGUUUGCUUGAGAGAGAGGUGUAAAGUAAUGGCUAUAAAUUACUGCUUGUAAUAAUUUGGUUGUUGUGGGUUCCGCUCGAGAGAGUGAAUUCUAAACUCAAUUCUACCCAUCUAGCUCGAGAGAGUAGAUAAAAUUAGGUAUUGGACUGUUUAUCGUGUUAAUCUUGUUGAGCUUCGAGAGAACUCACCUGAACCGUAAUAGCUGUUCUAGAGAAAACUAUUAUCGUUGUGGUCCAACCUACCUACUAAGAUCUAGAAACCCUUAGUAGUCACCGAUCACUUGUUUACCAAAAUUGACAAGAAAUCGGUCAUACCCGCAAGUAUCUUUUAAUUACUUGAUUGCUCCAUUGUUGCUCGUGAUUGUUUUAGUUGCUAAUUGACAACCAUUUCCCACAUAUGACAUUUGUGUCACCCUUUUAAUUUGCUUAAGUGUCUUCGAUAAUCUAUAUUCCUACAAUUUAUUGAAUCACAUUUUCAACUUCAUAAUUGAAUUUGAACUUAUACCAUUCCCUGUGGGUUCGACUCCAACUUACUUGUUGGGUUUAUACUAGAUUACGAUCGCCUAUGUAACACCCCGGAAAUUCUAUGACUUAAGUUAGAUGCUCACCUUAUGAAUAAUGAAUUAAUAAUAGUUAAAAUGAUGUUUAUAAACCUAAACUAAUGUAAUUGACUUGGUUUGGAAGAGUAAAAGUCUAAACGUCAAGAAACGACCACGACGUCCGGAAACUAGAGAAGAAUGUGUUCUAGUGUGUCCUUAGGUUUUGGGUAGGUUUGGGAGUUUCGUAUGAUGGUAUAAUCUGGUGAAAAGGUUUAAAAUAGGUAAAUAAAUGUUCCUAGGGUCAAAGCAUUCGAAUACGACUCCCCGGGACCACCCUAAGGGNNNNNNNNNNNNNNNNNNNNNNNNNNNNNNNNNNNNNNNNNNNNNNNNNNNNNNNNNNNNNNNNNNNNNNNNNNNNNNNNNNNNNNNNNNNNNNNNNNNNNNNNNNNNNNNNNNNNNNNNNNNNNNNNNNNNNNNNNNNNNNNNNNNNNNNNNNNNNNNNNNNNNNNNNNNNNNNNNNNNNNNNNNNNNNNNNNNNNNNNNNNNNNNNNNNNNNNNNNNNNNNNNNNNNNNNNNNNNNNNNNNNNNNNNNNUCUCAAGAACUCCAUUGAAGAAGAUUGGAACUUCAAGAAGAAGACCAACUCUCCAAGGUAUUCCUUCGAAUUUUCGUGGUUAAUUCAUCUAUAAGGUAUGGUUGCUUAUCACUCUUGGGAUUCCUUUCCCCAAGAGGCCCCUUCAAGAUGAAUUUCAAAAUCUCCAAUUUCUAGGUUUCAAUCCAAAAAUGUGGGUCUUCUUUCUAAAGUGAAAUUGAUGUUAUAAACUGACUUUGAUUGAUGUUAUAUGAACAAUUAUGGAUGAAUUUAUGUUGUAUUGAUGGUUUCUUGAAGAAUUCCCCNNNNNNNNNNNNNNNNNNNNNNNNNNNNNNNNNNNNNNNNNNNNNNNNNNNNNNNNNNNNNNNNNNNNNNNNNNNNNNNNNNNNNNNNNNNNNNNNNNNNNNNNNNNNNNNNNNNNNNNNNNNNNNNNNNNNNNNNNNNNNNNNNNNNNNNNNNNNNNNNNNNNNNNNNNNNNNNNNNNNNNNNNNNNNNNNNNNNNNNNNNNNNNNNNNNNNNNNNNNNNNNNNNNNNNNNNNNNNNNNNNNNNNNNNNNNNNNNNNNNNNNNNNNNNNNNNNNNNNNNNNNNNNNNNNNNNNNNNNNNNNNNNNNNNNNNNNNNNNNNNNNNNNNNNNNNNNNNNNNNNNNNNNNNNNNNNNNNNNNNNNNNNNNNNNNNNNNNNNNNNNNNNNNNNNNNNNNNNNNNNNNNNNNNNNNNNNNNNNNNNNNNNNNNNNNNNNNNNNNNNNNNNNNNNNNNNNNNNNNNNNNNNNNNNNNNNNNNNNNNNNNNNNNNNNNNNNNNNNNNNNNNNNNNNNNNNNNNNNNNNNNNNNNNNNNNNNNNNNNNNNNNNNNNNNNNNNNNNNNNNNNNNNNNNNNNNNNNNNNNNNNNNNNNNNNNNNNNNNNNNNNNNNNNNNNNNNNNNNNNNNNNNNNNNNNNNNNNNNNNNNNNNNNNNNNNNNNNNNNNNNNNNNNNNNNNNNNNNNNNNNNNNNNNNNNNNNNNNNNNNNNNNNNNNNNNNNNNNNNNNNNNNNNNNNNNNNNNNNNNNNNNNNNNNNNNNNNNNNNNNNNNNNNNNNNNNNNNNNNNNNNNNNNNNNNNNNNNNNNNNNNNNNNNNNNNNNNNNNNNNNNNNNNNNNNNNNNNNNNNNNNNNNNNNNNNNNNNNNNNNNNNNNNNNNNNNNNNNNNNNNNNNNNNNNNNNNNNNNNNNNNNNNNNNNNNNNNNNNNNNNNNNNNNNNNNNNNNNNNNNNNNNNNNNNNNNNNNNNNNNNNNNNNNNNNNNNNNNNNNNNNNNNNNNNNNNNNNNNNNNNNNNNNNNNNNNNNNNNNNNNNNNNNNNNNNNNNNNNNNNNNNNNNNNNNNNNNNNNNNNNNNNNNNNNNNNNNNNNNNNNNNNNNNNNNNNNNNNNNNNNNNNNNNNNNNNNNNNNNNNNNNNNNNNNNNNNNNNNNNNNNNNNNNNNNNNNNNNNACUAUGAUGCUUACUUUGUUUGCAUAUUGGAUUUACUUGGUAAAAAGCAUGUUUUGACUAAAUGUCCUUUUAUGCAUGUUUCAAUGGUCUUUAUGGAUAGUAGCCAUACUUAGUACGUGUGUUGUACUAACCCAUAUCUUCUCCCUUUUUCCAAACAUUUAGGUUCGGACCGUUGAGGAUUCAAGUUUACUACUCAAGACACUUAGAGUUGCUUCCCCAAGUUGGUGAGUCCUCAAGUCCGAGGACAAGACCCUAUGAUCUAGAUUCUAUGUUAGUUCUUUGCUUAUGUUGAAAGACAUUGUUGUACUUCCUAUUUGCAAGACUUCUUAUUGAUGUAAGGGCUAAGUCCCAUUUUCGAUACUUCUAUGUCUAGAUGGUGCAUUGUGACGAAGUUAGAUUCUAUUUUUCAUAUAUGAAGUGAAGUUGAACUUCCAAAGUAAAAGUUUUAAAUGUUCCGCAAUUUUAUUCUAUGAUACAGGUUAUGACGAAUGCUAAGGGCUUGUAUAAGACCUCUUCGAGGUCAAAUACGCCGGUAACGACUAGGGGGUGCUCUCGAGUCGUUACAGCCUACACCUAGUAUUGGAUGAGGUGUAGUUGAGCAUUAUCACUGUGCACCCAAGAUCCUCUAAUAACCCUAAAACCACGACCUGACUAACGGACCGUUGGUCACACUAUAAUAUGUGGUCGGGGGCCCGUGGUUCAAAGGCCCAGAAUUCAGCUUCUGACCAUGAACGACGGCCGUGCAGGAUGGCCCGUCGUCCUGACCACGGCCUGUCAUUAGUGGCCGUCGGUGGUGGGCUGGCAGUUAUUAUUAGGGGCAGUUGGGUCUUUUCCUAAAUAUUUUACUCCUAUACUAUGUCAUUUUACCCUUCACCAUGACCCCUAUUUAAGUGAUUUCAACCCCCCCAAAUUAGUUCAUUCACUUCAUUCUCUUCAAAUUCACCAAAAAGAAGAACUCUCCAAUAAUUCUUUCUCUAGAAAUCUUGAAGAAGAAGGAUUGAACCUAGGGUUUCAAGUCAAGUCUCAAUUCCUCCAUUGAAGAUUAGCAAUUGGCUUCAAGGUAUGCUAGUUUUCAUCCAUGGAUUCCUUCCAUUCAUGGAGUUCCCAAAAUCAUCUAUUUUCAAAGUUAGAAAUCGCCAAUUGAGUUAAGGUUUUCUUCAAUUGUCAUGGGUUCUCUUCAUUAUUGAUUGAAAUGAUUGAAUUGUGAUUUCUUAUGCAUGAAUUGAUGAAAUACUAUGAUUUUAUGAUGAUUCCCCCAUGAACCCAUGUAAUCUCCAUGUUUUCAAGCUAUGAUCAUAUGAUGUGGGAUUUCGAUUAUGAAGGAAGAGUUUUAUAAAAUUAAGCAUGUAUUGAUAGAAUUUCAUGAAUUUACAAUGAAAUCCAUAUCUAACCGAUGUUUUCUAAAUGUUGAUGAUUGAAAGUGGAUUUUGAACCUUGCAAGGUAAAUUAUGGAAUUAUGCAUGUUCUUAUGAAAUCUUUGCAAACAUUUUAAGCAUGCUUUGCGAAUAAAGUUUCAAUGAUGAUGAUGAUGUAUUAUUGAAAGUAUUUUCUCAUAUACACAUAAAAACAAGAUGUGAAAGGUUUUCUCACAUAAUAAAGGAUUUUAAGGUUGAAAGGUCUUCUCACCUAAUUGAAUCAAAGAUUAAGAGUUAUCCUAUUGAAAAUCUAGCUAGGAUUGGUUAUUGUAUGAUACCUUUCCAUGGAUGAUGACUUAGCUUGGAUUGUCAAGAUGACGUGCCCUUCCAUGGAUAAUAAGAACAAGUAUGAAAUUACUAUUCCAUGGGAUUUAUGCUUAGCACCGAGAGGAUAUUGAGAUGGAAGCUCUCCCGUUAGUAAAGGACGGGUUUCUAGAAGCAAUCUCCUUAUACCUUACCGAUGUUCCCCCAUAGAAUGAUUGUCUAGAUAUACAUUAGCUAGUGGAUCCACCUAAGCUAGAAGUUAUGGUCCUUAUCUUGGUACGUAGGACAACCCUUUUUGGCGUAGGAGACACCGGGGAAUCAUUUUAUAGCUCACAUGGUCUCUAUGUCGGUUAGGCUACUUCUCACAUUAAUAAUGAACUAAGGUUACUUCAAGAAGUAUAUCAUAUGUGUUCAAAGCUUUUAAUGAUGUUAGCUUGCAUUGACCAUGAUUUAUGACUUGUGUUUUCUAACCCUUUUUUAUAUCAUAUUUUAGCUUGGUCAAUUGCAUGUCACGAAAUGUCCUCUUUUAGCAUGAUUUAAAUAUUUUAUGUAUAGCUAUCAUACUUGAUACAUUGUUUUGUACUAACACAUACUAUUUCCUACAUUUCCCCAAAUGUAGGGUAUGACAGUCAAGUUUCUCAAUUUCGUGGCUAGUGGUUAAUUUUGAGGUUUCCGAGUUUUAGUGAGUCCUCAUGCUUCGAGGAAGGAUUUUCAUUAUCUUAGUUUCUUUCAUGUAUUUUCAGUUUUGGACAUGAUGUAUGGGCUAGGCCCAAUUUCAUUCUAUUGUACUUGAUGGCUAUUGAGACAAAGUGUUUUAGACUUCCGCUUUUCUUUUGUAAAACUAUUAGACUUGGACUAUAUUUUUACUCCUUUUGUUCUAUUUCUUAUGUUAUGAAAGCUAAGUGGCUUGUAUGGGGUUUUUUGGGAUCCUAUAUGUCAUGCUACAUCUAGGGGGUACACUUGGGUCGUGACAUAAAUGCAAGAGAUAAUACACCAAUUUUGAGAGGGAACCUAAAUCUUCAUACCUUGUGUACUACCUUAUGAGGGUGUGCAACCAUCUUGGCAACAUGAGCCUAUACCAUUUUUUGUUAGACACAUUGAACCCUCUUGAACAAAAUAUGACCCUACCUUCUCACAUAUAAUUCCUUUUCUAAGCAAUGGUUUGUUCAAAUAGCAAACUUAGGCCAAAACUCUAAGUUGGGGGUGUGGGAAGGAAGGGAGAAAGAAAGCCAUGUUUUAAAAAAAAGUGAAGCUCAACCUUGAUGUUCGUAGAAAAAAGAAGUAGGAUCCCCUACUUAUUAAAACAAGAGCCAAAUCAUGAAAAUGGUUUGAAAAAAGAAUGUCUUGAUGAAAUAAAAGGGGUUUGCUAUGACUUGAAUAAAGAAUUUUGGAUUGAGUCUCCAAAUCAACAGUAUGAAAAGAACUUGAGAAGAGGUAAAGAUGAGUACAACAAUGCUUUGAAAAGGUAAAGUCACAGAGCCAAAAUAGUUCAUACCUUUACCCUCAGCCCUAUUAUAAACUUGAAAAGACCUUUAGAUCUUCCUAAAACCAGGUCGUGUGAUGAUUGGAAAAUAUGGGCAAACUUAUGGGAUGAGACUUGCAUGUAUUUCUCUUUCGGAGAGUGAGUAUUUGUAGUGAUUCCUGACUUCUUUGUUGAUGUGCUUUGUGAGAGCAUCAAAUCAUUUUUGUUAUGAGGGCACUUGAAUGCUUUUGUUGAAGCAUGAUUUUACAUUAUAAGUAAGUAUGAGGGAGCUUGAACUUGGAUUGAUAGUGGUUAAUAAUAAUUUGAAUCUUCUUGAGCAUAAUUGAGAAUUUUCACAUACUUGAUAUAAGUUUUGUGAGAGCAUUUGCAUAUUAACUCAGAAUUAGCACUGUUGUGGAGAUCCUUGUUGAACUAAUAGCGUUCUUGAUUUACUUGAGGAUACACAAAAGUUUAGUUUGAGAUUUUGACUCAUGUGAGUCCUUUUAGUUCAACAAAUAGCGUCAUCAAGACCUAUUUAUGUCCAUAUCUGAUGUUACAUUGAUUUUUUGCAUCUAUGAAGGCUCAACGACGAUGCAAAGAUGAAAUCACACAAAAAAGGCCGAAAAUUUCUAAAAAAGAGUGAAAACCCCAAACUGAGGAUCACCGAAGGUUGUAGUUGGCAAAUCUCCAACUAUGCCUGAACGCCACAAGAUUCUGUAGUGUUUGAUGAUAAAAUGUCAAGGUAAGUCGAUGAAGGAAUAAAGUUCACCAAUUUAGAUUCAAACAUCAGAAGCCUAAAACCAAGAAAGGGUGAGAGAAAACUAAUCCGCCGAUCAAGUAGGCGAGCCCGACUAAUGUCACCGAACAGGUCACAUAUGGGAUUUCAAACUAAUUUUUGAUGAAAUUAUAAAUAGCCAAAGGAGAGAGAAAAUAUAUUUUUUAUCCUUUAAUUGUUGGGAAAAUAGACUAUUGAAUAUAUUUAGGAACUUUACCUUUUUCAUAUCUUUUUAGUUUUGGGUUUUUGAAUAAUUUUGUAUUUGAAAAUUGAGGUUUCAAUUCUAAGUGUGUGUUGAAGAUUAUUACUUAUUAUUGACACUUUGAUGACUGAAAACAUAAUUGGUAAAAUUUCUUUCACUUUUAUGAUUCUAGGAUAAAACCUCAACUCUAGGCGUAUGAUUAUGGAGUUGGUUUUUAUCUAAUUUAGUGGGUCUAGUGUCUUGUUAUGUUUUUUUAUAUUUAUUCAUGGAUUUGAGCUUGUUAGCAUAGGUUCAACUUAUGGGCUAAGGUUACAAACCUAAUCCUAGCUUAGAUCUUUGAUUGAUUCUUGAAAGAGAUUAAUUAAAGUGGGUAAAUAGAUAAUACUCCCAAAUUGGAUUUGAUUGAUGUAGUUUGCUCAAAAGAGAAAUUAUAAUUUCAUUUUUAAUCGUGAAAUAUGCUCGAAAGAGAGAUUUUGUAAGGUAUUGGGUUGAUUUAUAUCUUUACAUAGAUGGGACAAAAAGGGUAUUAUGUGAUAUGACACCUUGAAAUCGAUAGAAAAUAAGUAUUGUUUAUGAUUACACAGCCUAUCAAUGAUUAUCUUGCAUUCUUAAGCAAGCACUUGAACCCCUAUUUGACAUUGAUACUGACUCCCACACCCCUAGAUCAUCUUUUACUUGUUUAAACCAUGUUUUUUUAAUUGUAAUAAUUUAUUUAUUUUAAAUUCUUGGAAUCAUCUACCCUUUUGUCCUAAUUGCUACAAUGAAUUAGUUUGCAUCUUAAUUUCCUUAUUGAAUUCUUCGAUUUAGAUCACUCCCUAUGGGAUUCAACCCCGACUCUAUUUUUGGUUAUUUAUAUUGCUAGUGGUUGAUUACCUUUUAAAUUUUAUAUAUGAGUAAUUUGAGUGUUAUCACCUAAUACAAUCUUACUCAUUCUUACUUGAGUAUUGGCAACCAUAGUCGGAGUAUACUUAGCCAAUUUAGUAAACUUCGAAGAAUACUCUUUCACAAUCAUGUUCUGUUGACAAAGAUUGAUGAACUCAAGCACCUUCACCUCUCUCAUCUCAAGAGGAAAUAAAAAGAUCAACAAAUAUCCCUUUGAAUUUCUCCCAAUCAAGAGGACCCCCAUCAAUAGCCCUCUCUUCCUUCCAUUGUUUGAACCAAACUUGAGCAACAUCCUUAAGUUGAUAAGCGGCAAAUUCCUCCUUUUCCACUGGUGACACUUUCAUAAUUUCAACUAUCUUAUACAACUCAUCAAUAUACUCUUGAGAAUUUUCAUCCACUUUCGACCCAUGAAACUCCGCGGGAUUCCUCCUACUGUAGUCCCUUACCCUUAUCACCGUCGUACCCCCAUUUGGGUUCAUGGGAGAAAUGACCUCUCCAUAACCUUGGGUUGUCAUAGCUUGAGCCAACACUUGAAAAGUGGCUCAAAAUUCGACAUGAGUCACUUGCUCGGCCAAAGGGUCAAUCGGGGUUUGAGUAACCUCAGGCUCCACAUCAUUAGCCACUUUCCUGCUCACAUAAGGCCUUUGAAGAUCCAUAUACUAAAAAACAUCAAAAAAGAGUUACGGGAAAGACCUUUAUAGUGAUGAACUCUAUUGCACGACUUUAGAGUAGUGAAAGAAGUGAAGUUUCCUAAACUCCUUGUAUCCUCCUAUUCAUAUAUUUGGUGCACUUAACACUCAUGAACAAGACUCUACUCAACCCAGCUCCUCAGACAUCCUAAGACCUUUCUAAAACCAUGUGCAAUGAAUACCACAUUUUUCAUGACCCAAAGUAUACCCUAGAUGUGACAUGAAGUAUAGAACCCCGAGAGGCCCUAUACAAGACACUUGACAUACAUCAUACAUAAGGAAUUAUAAUAUUAGAUAUUGAAAGCAAUAAUCGUCUAAUAUCAUGAAAGAGUUUCGAACAUAAGUGCAAAAAUCCAACUAUGUCUUGACAAGACAUUUUAAAACCAACAUCAGAGUGGUUGGGACGUAACUCAUACACCAUGUACAAGGCUGAAAAUGAAAGACAACAUAAGAAAUAAAAUGCUUCAUGAUUGUCCCCUCGAAGUAUGAGGACUCACCAAUCCACUAAACUGGGAUAGAAAUCUGAACUAGCCACGAGCGAGAAGAGAAGUGUUGUACCCUAUAUUAUAAAAUAGUAUAGGCACAAGUAUGCAUUAGUACAUGGAAUGUAGUAAGUAUGGAGAAAUAUGUAUAAACAUAAACAUGGUCAUUUGGGAAAUUUAAACAUGAUAUGCAUGACCAAGCGAAAAAAUUGUUAAAGCCUUUGAGGGAAAUCAUAUAUCAUACAUUAAUCAAAGACAUAAUUAAAGCUUUUAAGGAAAAGUCAUAAUUAUUUUGUGGGAUAUUAGCUUUAACUAACAAUAGACUAUGUGAGCUAUAAAAUAGAAUCCGAUGUAACUCCCACACCGAGAAGGGAGAUUCUACUUGCCAAGGUAUAACUUUGUAUCAUAUCAUAAAGGUUGUGUCAAAUCCACUAGCUAGGUCAUUUAAGAUAAUCCUAUAGGGGCAUAUAGUUUGGAACUAUAGAUUGCUACUAGAGACUACCGUAUUUGAGCCUCUACCUCAAAGUUUUGUCGGUGCAAAAUUAAAUACCAACAAAAUAGAUAAAGUUAAUUAUCAAAGCAUAAAAUUUGAAAUGGAAAUAAUCACCAUACCAUUCAAAAUCUUAAAAAUGUAUAAGAGUAGCACUUUUAAAUCAUGAUUCAUACAUAUGUGAUAAGGAUUUUCACAACCAUGAUUUCAUAAUAUGUGAGAAAACAUUUAACAAUUCAUUGAUACUUAUCUCAAAAGCAUCCUUAGUUCAUAAAAUAUCAUUUUCAUCAAAUAUGCAUCACUUUCAUAAAUCAUCAUUCAUAAGUUCAUACGUUUUCUUAAUAAAUUCACAGUGAUGAUCAAUUAUAAUGCACGGGUCCAUAUGAAAUCAAUUGAAAAUCAUGUAAUUGAAUCAUAUCAUGCAUAAUAAGAUUGGAAAUCAAACAAUUGAAUCAGAACAAAGAGGAUCCAUGGAGAUUUCCAUGCAACCCUAAUCAAAUUGGGUAAGAAAUUGAAUUGGAGAAUGAGAUUCUUUGGGGACCAAUGGAUGAAUGAAAUCCAUUGGUGGAUUCCCACCUACCUUGAUAUCAAACCAUAGAAAAUCAAGAGAAAGAGAAGAACUUGAAGCUUGAAACCAUAGCUUUUCUUCCUUGAGCUUGAGAGUGAAUUGGAGAGAAGGAACUUGGAUGGGAAUUGAGAAUUUGAGAGAAUGAGAGGGUUUGGGUAGUUUUAGGAAUUGAAAGGUAGUUAUAAGACUUAGAAAUAUGGCCAAAACGAUUUAGUAUAGGUAUUAGUUUCAUUGCAAAAGAACCAAAUAACCUUAAGAAAUACCUGUCGAACAGGACCUACGAUUCGUAGGACUUUCUAGGGCUUGUACUAGUCAACCGUAGAACAAACUUCAGAAACCCAAAAAAUAAUCCAAAUUCCAUGAGACCCUUCUGCGAUCUGUCAUUCCUUCUAUGGUACGUAGAACCCAUGUUCAAGUACAAAAUUUCACUAAGUAUGGAUUACUGCUAUGGAUCCAACCUAUGACACAUAGAACUCAUCCUUUUCACUCAUAGGUCAAACAUAAGAGACUUAAAAUUUCAAAAACUCAACCUAAGCCCUACCAUUUUCCUUUUAUAGCUUGUAGAACUUCCUAUGGUCCGUAGAUAGGACUCGUAACUCACUACUUUAGUGACAAAACUGAACCUUUCUUUUCGAAUACGACUUUCCACACUAUAGGAAAAUUGUGAAUUACAUGGGGAUUUUCCUAGGGAUUAGUAUGAAAAUCCACAUGAAACUUAUUUUUCUAAAAAUUUUCAUACUACUCCCUAGGAAAAUCUCCAUGUAAUUCACCAUUUUCUUGUAGUACCAAUUUCUGAGGUGCUACAUCAAGCAAUAGAAUCUGUAAAUUAGCCAAUUGUUCCAUAGAUUUUACCAUUUCAAAUUUUCAGCCUCUACAUAACUCAAAUGGCUUAUAGACUUACGACUUAAAGAAUUUGCCACAACAUUUAAUUUACUUGGAUGGUAUAGAAUGCUCACAUCAUAAUAUUUUAGUAAUUCUAACCACCUUCUCUACCUUAAAUUCAACUCUUUUAACUAAACAAGUAAUUGAGACUCUUAUGAUCCAUGAAGAUAUAAAUGUGUACCACAUAAAAGUAGUGCAUCAUAUCCUCAAUGCAAACACUACAAUUGCAAAUUCUUAGAUCAUGGGUAGGUGAUUCUAGUCGUGCUUCCUCAACUGUGUAGAAGCAUAGGCAAUAACCUUGUCAUGAUGCAUCUAAACACAACCCAACCCAACUUUGGAAGCAUCAGAAUAAACAACAUAACCCUAUAUACCCUUAGGAAGGGUCAAGACAGGUGUUGAAGUUAAUUUAUCCUUUAAUUUGUAGAAACCUUUCUUACAGGCCUCUAACAACUAAAACUUAACUGCUUUAUGAGUCAACUUCGUCAACAAUACGGAGAUAAUAGAGAAACAUUCCACAAAUAUGUGAUAAUAUCCCGGUAAACAUAAAAAUUUACCAACCCUUAUAGGAUUCAUAGGUAUGGGCCAACUCUUUAUAGCUCCUAUUUUCUAGCUAUAAGCCCUUAUACCUUCAUCUAUAAUUAGAUGACCACGAAAAUCUAUAGAUGUUAACCAAAUUCACUUUUAAAAAACAUAGUGUACACCCUUUGCUCUUGGAGAGUCUGUAGCACAACUCUUAGGUCAUGCUCGGCCUCUUAUUGCAAAUAAAUCAAGAUGUAGUGAAUGAAGAUGAUCACAAACACAUAAAGAAAGGGCUUAAAUUACAUGUUAAUCAUAUCCAUAAAGGUUUUUGGUGCAUCGGUAAGUCCAAAUGAGAUCACCAGAAACUCAUAAUCUCCAUAUCGGGUUGUGAAAGUAGUUUUAUGGACAUCUACUUGUCUAACUCGUAACUGGCGGUGUCCUGACGUCAAAUCAAUUUUGGAAAAACAUCUAGCUCCCUACAACUGGUCAAAUAAAUCAUAAAUCGUGAGGAGCGGAUACUUAUUCAUAAUCGUUACUUUGUUCAGAUUUCUAUAGUUAAUACAAAUUCAUAAAGAUUUAUAUUUUUUUCAUACAAACAUGACUAGUUCAACCCUCUGUUUUAUUUUAGGCCAUAUGAAACAUUUCUCGAGCAAAUCUUUCCAUUUCUCCUUCAACUUUCUCAACUUUGCUAGAGCCAUUUUAUAAGGAGGUAUUGAGGCAGAGUACUUUGGAGUAGAUCAAUGACAAAAUAUAUUUCCCUUUCAGGAAGGACUCCAUGUACACCAUGUGGGAAAACUCCUGGAAACCACUUAAAACAAAAAUAAAUUUAAGAAUUGCAUGUUCGCUUUCUAGGUAUCUAACCUGAACAAAAUGAAAUAUAGCCUUUAGAUAUCAACUUAUGGACUCUAAGGUAUGAAAUAAACUUACCUUAAGGCAUAGCAACAUUACACUUCCAUUAUAAGACCAACUCAUCUGGAAAUUGAAAUCAACAUUACUAUAACAUGCUACUAUCCAUUUCAUGCCCAAAAUAACAUAAAAAUCAACCAUAUCAAGUGAUGAGUCCACAGUUUGGACUCAUUUAGGGCUCCAUUUUAAUAGAGUUAGUGUCCUCAAAUGCAUAUUUUGUCUCAAUAACUGAUGUAAAUCCUUAAGUUUCAGGUAUUUGAGUUUGAGGCAAGGCUUGGACACUACUUGGCAAAAAGGAACAAAACGGCUAAAAAAAUGGAGAAAAGAAGGCCUGAGGAUCCCUAAUGCAAUCGGUAAGUCACCGAAUGGCCUUAACCUCGCUCAAAGUUCCAUUGUGCUGAGCCCUGAAGGGAAAUAUCAAGUUGGCGAUGAAAAGGAGCAGUCAGUGUGUCGUUGAACAGUUCCGUGAAGCAGUACUAUAUCGCCCAAUGAUCUAGAACACGAAGAUGCUGAAGGCAAAAGCUGAAAGGCGAUGAAGCAGACCAAAGGGCAGAUCGCCGAAUGCAUCGGCGAUUCCAACUAACUGCGCCGAGUGAACCUUCGCAGCACAUUUUUUGACAACUAUAAAUAUUAGUUUAAAUUUGUAUCUUAGUAUGCAAUUUCAGAUACAACAAUUUUAUUUUCUAAGUUUACAAGUAGAGAACAUAUUUGCUUAGCUUUUAAAGAUUUGAAGACUUCCAAUUCCAAGAAAUUUGAAGUGGGUGUUGAAGAUUCUUCAUCUUAGACUUGUUUAAAGUGAAUAUAAAUCAUACCGAGUUGAUGUUACUUUGAUUUGGUAUCAUUUUCUUCCUUUUUCUAUGUCUAGCUAAAACCCAAUUCUUGGGGUGUGAUUUUGUGAAUAUGGGUUAAAUUUCCUGUUGGGUAUUGCUUAUUGUUAGUCUAUUUGCUGUUUAAAUGUGAUUUCGUUUAGUAGUUGUGUUUGAACUUAAUGGGAUUGUAGUUGCAAAUACGAUUUCAUCUUAGUGUUUUUGGCUGGCUCGAGAGACAGGUUUUAAAACUAAGACUACUUAAUCGAUAGCCGGUGGUUAUUGGGUCGUCGUGGGUUCAGCUCGAGAGAGUGAAUCCUAGGGUUUUUCACACACAUUCAGCUCGAGAGAGUGAAUGGGCUAAGGCGGAGGUUGUGCUUAAAAGUGGCAACUCGGUGUUCGAGAGAAACUGAGUUGAUUCAGGGUAAGUUGCUCAAGAGAGAAUUUACCCCCACUAAAGUCUAGCCUAGUUACAAAUGUUCAGCAAUUGACUAUCAAUAGCAUUUACCCGAUUGUGUAGUUUAUCCCAUAUUCCUAUCACAUCCCAAGAAUCUCGUCUCCUAUAUUCGCAUCUUUUUGUUUUCACUGUUUUUGUUCAUUAAUUGAAUACAAACUCCCCCAUUGAUAAUUGACAUUUAUGCCAACCCCUUAAUUUAUCAUGAUUUUACUCGAUAAAGUUUUAGCUAUGGUUAACUCUAGCAUACUUGCACUUAACUCUUAAUUCUUAGAAACUGCUCCCUUGGGACUCGACCCCAACCCAUUUGGUUGGGUUAUAUUACUAUUGUACUAUCGUAGACACUUGAAUCGGAAGUUGUGUCUUGAUUACACAAACAUCAUCAAGCUCUUUUAGAUCAACUCGGGUAAAUCUACUACAUACCAACACUACACUGUUUCAAUAAACCCUGCUACCUAAUAUAGACUCACAAAUAAGAGUAGAAAUGAUAGAUGGUUAAAAUAAUAAUUCAAGAAAUAUUUCGAAUUGACUUGCAACCAAUAGAGUAACAUAAAAGAGGGUAGAAGCAGGAUCCCCGUACUCUUUUUUCCUAUUUUCUUUAUUAUUUCAUGUCGAGCUUUAGAAAGACACUGGGAGGGAGAAUGAACGAUCGACUGCUAAAGAUCUUGAAUAAAGCAUUGAUAGCUUUGCAGAGGAGAAAAACUUUGAUUCUUCUUGAAUGUGUUCCUUGCAUGUUGAAGUGAACAGGGGCGGUACCAACUACGACUAGAAAGCGGCCACUCCUGUCAAUGAAUACCAUUCAUGAUUGUCUAUGUUAGUAACAUAGCCAUAACAACUUUGUUUUACUGCUUGAGGUGGUGAUAACUUUUAUAUAUUUGCUUUAUUAUAAGCUUGCAUAGUGCUCUAUCAAGAAAAAAAUAUAGUAUUUAAGAAUAAUUAAUCAAUGUACCUAUGACAAUGUCAAAUGAUACCUCCUAGUCCUGGUGACCACCCAUUGCAUAAAACAAAAUUUACGUCCCUUCAACCAGAUGACUCUCCCCCUCUACACCUUCCACUUCCUGAAGUGGAUUGAGGACCGAGUCUUGGAGGGAAACUUGAUGAAGCUAAUGAUGAUUCUGUUUGUUAAAUCAUACAACCUCUCUCUCUCUCUAUAAUAAGAUAGUACCGCCUAAUAUGCCCUAAAUUACCACACAUAUAAAAUAGUUUUAUCCCCUGAUGACAUGGUCCAGGAUGUGCCCUUCUCAACUAAGCACAAUGCAGCAAUGGUGGUCUUCCCUACUCUGAAUGCUCAAGUCGUUGCAGAGAGACUGAACUCUAAUCUCUCAUAUAAACCUGUAACACGGAUGAAUUACUCUCUACAGGUCUAGACAAUUGCCUGGAUGAAAAAGCCUCGUGGUCCCCUUGAGGUUCACUUAGAAAACAACAGUCUUAGCUCUCUUCCUCUGUUUCUACUCUCUACGAGUAUCUCGUAGCUGAUGAAACAAAUCCUUCUCCCUUUGGGCAAGAGCCUGCUUUUGUGCAAUAUUUGUAUCAGUCUCAGUAGACAUUCCUAAGCAUUUAUGAGCCACAUAAGACCCUAAACAUAAAAAAAAAAAUAGAUACACUCUAUCCUUCUUCGUCUGCACCAUGUGGGAAUCAUAUAUGGCCAAGGAAUUAAAUCUGAGGCUAUACUCACGCAUACCCAUAUUACCCUAUUGCAUAUGUAAGAACUACUCAACUUGAGCCUGUCGAAGGUCUUCUUGUAGGUACUGCUCUAUAGAGACCUAGGAGAACUCUUUCCACCAGCUGGAGGUGCAUUAGUUUCGUUAGUUUUUUCCCAUGCCUCAUAAAAUAAUAUAGCUACAUCACAUAGCGUGAAUGAUCCUAGCUCUACUCCCUCCAUAACUAUAACCCGCAUCACCUUCAAUAUUCUACAAUUCUUAUCAAUAACAUCCUGAGGAUCUUCUUUGGAUAAGAUCUACAGAAAAGUAAAGGAAUCAAGUUCAGAAACUCACAAGCCCGCACAACUUCUAGGCUUUAUGCUACUUCAAACUUUCAUGCUGUCCAACAUCUUUACAAGCCAUAAACUUAAUUGCUCCCUCAGUGCCCAGUCCUUUUAGAGAUUCUGGAGGUUUGAUAGGUGUUGGAGGUACAAAAACUUUGUCACCCUCGUGUAUCACUAGGAAUGGUGAUGUUGGAUGUUUUUCUAAUGUAGCUCUACCUGGAGAAAGAGGGGCUGUAAUAUCUGGAGCAGGACACUCGCUUUGAACCUCUAAUCUAUAUCUUUGUUCAUUAGGUGGGCGUAUAUUACCAUCUCCUGAAGUUAUACAUUGUGUAGAUAUCUACCUCAUCGUCAACAUAUUCUGAAAUAAUUACAUGAAUAGGAUAUCAUAUAACCUGAUGACUUCGCUCUAUAGCACGAAUUGUCCAUGAAAAUGUGAAACAACACCAAAGUUUCCUAUAUCCUCAUGAUUGUAACUAUGGUGCACCACAUACCCAUAAGAAAGACUCUACUAUACAUGGCUUUGUGGACUCCUUAGUACACGACCUCGCUAUGAUACAAGGUUUGUCACGCCCUAAAACUAAGGUAGGGUGCGACUGGCCUCGAUAUUGACUGAAUUGAGAAGCUGUCUAUAUAACAUAUGAAAUUGUAAUACACAGGCAACCAGACCACCUAUCACAACCUCCUAGACCGACAAGGUCACAACUAAAUAAAAUUUGAUAAAAAUAAGGUUAACUAAGCCAUAAUGUAACUGAGCUGAACAAUGGAAUGCCGACAAGACCAUAAAACCAAACUGAACAAAACUAUACAUUAGCGUCCACAAAACCCUCUAAAGAGUAACAAACUUAGUUUUCAGAACAGAUAAUGGCUCCUGAAAAACAGAAGCAUACAAACUCUCAGCUGAAGUUAGACUCCUAUUGCAACUAACGAUAAAAGCAUGUAUCUGCACCUGCAUCAUGAAUGUGGCGUAUACAAGCGUAGGGACAUCAGUAAAAAUACCAUGUACUGGUAUGUAAGGCUAAAAGCGGUAAAACGGAGUAUAUCAAAGAUACUAAACUACAGUUAGGGAUAGAAAAAACCUGAGAUUCCGGAAGCUGAGAUUUGAUAAUGACUUAACAUUUAUCUUCUAAUGCAUCAAAUUAAGCACAUAUACCAAUCAUACCUCCCCAAUGGUGAACUAUAUGAUAAUCAUGUCAUAGUAGCGACCCUACUUAGCCGAGAUGGCCAUCUUGGUGGUGUAAUGACGGAGUAAGAAUCAGCCCACCAGACAUGUUUGUCGUGGUAUUAUGGUGACAAAGUAAGAAUAUACCCACCAGACAUGCAUGCAGUGGUGUUGUGGUGAUUCAGUAAACAUCUAUCCACUAGACAUGCCUGGUGGUGUGGUAAACUAUAGUACUAUAGCUUCCUACCGACAUUACCCCAUUGGUAGUGUAACAUGAAGUCAUAACCACUAUCAUCUACCAAGCCAAACAUGCUCAUAUCGAGUGUAUCUAAUAAUUAUACCACAUAUGCAAUCUAACUCUAAGAAUGCAACCUAAAUAGGCCACUUCAAGACUCGUGAAUUGUAACUAUGUACAUGUAACAUAUAAAGCUUUCAAAUAGCAUAUAAAUAUGCCUACUCUAUACUUAAACAAUAGCUAGAAGGUUUAGAUGUCAUAAGGAAUCCAAUAGGCUUAUGAAUGAUGUACCAAAUCUAUUUACAAUGCCUUCACGUAUAGCUUGAACAAGAGAUCAUAUAUUUUUAUUUUUAUUUGAUCAACUCUUUUACGAUCUGUAUAUAUACAUAUAUUCUAUCCGUAAGGUGCUUCUUUUACCCGUGUCAAAAAUUAUGUUAUUUUACUCUGUUUAUAAACUUAUUGUGUCGAUGAUCACCAAUAGUUCUUAAUGUUUUUCAUGAAACUCACAUACACAACUACUUUUAAAUGAAAACACAUAUAGGACCAGCUCACAGUGCUCACGAUAAGGGGUCUCCAAACACAAUUUACAACUACGAAAACAAUUGUAUAUAAAUCGCCAUUUUUGUCAUAUUCAUAUAUUUUAAUAUUAUAAAAAUUAUAGAAAAUCACCAUGUUUUUCCAACCUUUUAACCGAACCAUACAAUACCUUAAUAGGAGUUGAAAACAUAGGAAUACUAGUCCAAUCAACGAUGUAUAUUGGUUCUUGAAAAUAGAGGAAAGGGGUAUCUAACCUUUAUUUGAGUCCUUUAACAUAAUACAAUGUCUGGAUUAUCUCUUGCUCCUUCAAUAUAAAACAACAACCAAUGAAAAUUCAACUUUAAAUAGUUAUACAACACAUCCAAGUCAUUUAGUCUAUUCAACAAACACAUGAUGGGCGUAAAUUCAAGAGAAAUUUAAAUCAAUAGGUGUUCGUAGUAUUAAUCCAUUCAUAUUACCAACAACAAUACACUACACUUAAAUGACUCUAAUACAUUAACCUCCAUCCACAAGACCAGUGCACACAUCCCUCACCAAAAACAUCAAUUAACAUGAGGGGAAUUUUUUUUCACGACUCCCUAUUACCAUCCUAUGAGUUGUACCCAUAUUUUAUAUAGCUAAAACAUGAAGAACAUCACAUACAUGAGAGAAGGGAACAUGUACAUACCUUGCUUGAAGCAGAUGUUGUCCCUUAAGAUUGUAUUUAACCAAGAAGAAAGGUUGUCUCUUCACUCCAAAGACAGACUUAAGUGAAUAAUAUGCUUGGUUGAGGAACAAUACUUGAUUCUUGGUUGAUUUCUCAAUUAGGGCUUUUGGAGAGGAGAGGGCUUCAAGAACCAAAAACGAGGAGCUUCAUAAAUAACUUAGGAAAUGUCUCUAAUGAAUUCACCUCAUACAUAUCAUUUUUAAAAUAUUUGUAAUGACAUAACAUGUGCUACUCACGUUCCCAACACAACCAAUUUAGGUUUCUGCGUAGUUCGUAGUAAAAUAAGCAUAUCCAUUUUCUCUGAAGUCUUAUUGAUGAGUGAUUUAUUUCAUUAAACUACACUCACAUGUAUUUAAUUUUAUAUAUUAUAUAACCUAUAAAUCCUCAUAUGCUAGGAGAUAUGAUUAUCUCAAUUUAGACCACAUAUGAGAUUAUAUGAAAUAAUCUGUCGUAAUGUAACCUUCUAACUUGUAACCUUGUUAUGACACUUAUGUUGAUGCACAAUGAGUAACAACCAAUAUGAUCAUCCCUUUAGAACCUUAUUCUCCUGGCAACUCAUCAACAAACAACGUAAGAUGAAAAAUAUAGUUUUGGACGCGUAUAUCUUUAGCUUACUGAGUUAGUUACCUUAAAAUAUACGGGGCGUUACAAUUUGGCUUGCCUACCUUUGUUUAUAUGACAUAUUGUUACUCAGGUCAUGACCUUAACGGUCAGCUUAGUAUUUCAAAUGUUGUGUUACCUGACCUUUUGGGCCCUUAGUUUAAUUAGCUAGUAUAUUUUAGUGACUAACUUGACUGAAUACGGUUUUGUGUUCCGCUCACGCCUCCCCUAGUUUUGAGGGUGAAAUAAACAAUACUGAAAUGUAGAUUGAUCAUUCAUACAUUGCACCCCUCUUAAGAAUAGGAAAAUUAGUUAUUCAUGACAUAAAUUAAAAAAGUAAUACCAACAUUAUCAGCUAUAAUAGUUAUUGAGUUGAAUCCCUACAUAAAUGAAUCUUCAAAAGCCUUCAAUCACAAGAAGGUUCCCAGAUCUCUAACUACAAGAUUCUUCCUAAUUGUAAGGGUUUUGUAGAGAAUGUACUAUGAAUUUUAAAGAAUGUAAAGAAAGUGUUCUCUCAUUUUAAAAUCUAUUUAUAUUUUUGAGAAAAUAUUCACAAAAAUGCUCUUCGAGACAAUUUAAUGAUCUUAAUUGAACUCACAUAAUUGUUUGGCAAUACACCAAUUUGUCACUCACCUCGCUGAAUCGGUUUGUGCAAUUGAUUUCUUUUUUCAGGCAACUGUGAAUUUGGAAGAUACUCUAGACCUUUGCUGAGUCAAUUCGGUAAUAUUAUGAAUGUCCUUUUUGUGUCGCCAACUUGAUGAGCAUUUAAAAGGUAGCGGCUGCUAUUUUAGGAGAGCUGAAAGUCAGUUUACUAUGCUUCAAACUUGAUGCGCAAUGCUCAGUGCAAACUUGACUACCUUUUUCUUCUUUUGCUUUCUUCCUCUUCUUUUCAACUCCAAGGUAUCCUUAGAACUUUCAUAGUUGAAAUAUUAUUAAAUUAUGAUCAAAAGGGGUAUAAAUAAGCAUUGAGGACAUUACUUUUUUAUGAGAAAAAAAGCCUGAAAUGAGUCCUAAAUCUCCAACUCAUCAUUAUUUUCUUAAAAAAUAUUUGAUAAUACAAAAUUUAGUCAAGUUAUAUAUAACAUCCUCCAAAAAAAAAUAUUUGCAUUGUUUAAGAAAUUAAACAUUUCUAAGAAUUAUAAUGCUUUCUUUCCAAAAAAAUUUUGUUAACACUUCGAAAUUUUGUUGUAAUAUACCAGAAUAUCUUGAUAAUAUUUUAUUUGAAAAAUAUUAAUUAAAUAAAUAAAUACAAGUUAAUUUGAAUGUUAAAUGCACUCUUGGCAUUAUCAAAAUUAAAAUAUAAAUCAAAUUAGAAAGUAAAUACAAAGAAUUUAAUUUCCAUGAAGACAAACAACUGGAUACAAAUCAAGAGUGCAAAAGAUUAAUAUCUACAGUAUUUUUAUUUUAUUUUUUAAAAAGUUAUAUAAAGUAUACAUAUAUCUGUGUAUUUCUUAUUUUUAAAUAUGUAUCUAUAUAGUCCAUAUUAAAUAUAGUGAUGAAUUGUUUAUGGAUAAUUUAUUAGUAAAUAGUAGAGUGAAAAAUUUUACCAAAACAAAUGUCUGAUCUAUAAACAAACUCAAAAAUGGAUAGGUCAACAAAAAAUCUAAGUUCUCAUAUUUUUAUAUAUCAUUUUAUAAGGUAGAAAAACAAAGAAGUUCAAUUUUAUGAAAUUAAGACAUAAAAUAUUAUGAUUAUUAUUUUUUUAAUUUCACUACCUUCAAUUUAUCCAAGCUCAUCCAAUAAAAAAGAUUUAAAUUUUCUGGACAUGUCCACUUCAAUUUAUCCUCAAUAAAUGAUAUAGAGAUAAAAUAGACAUGCUAGAUAUGGUGGGCGAGUCCCAAGAAUUCUUUAUGAUUUGAAAAAUAAAGUUGCGUUUAGAUUUAACAAGUAGAAGGAAAAAAUUGCAAGAAAGUUUUGUCAGGAGAAAGAAAAAGAAGAAGAAAAAGUUUAAAAUGGGUGAGAAAAAGUAAGGAUAUAGAAAGAAAAUGAUACCUCUUAAAACAUAGCUUGCACCAUCGAAUUAACCUCCACUCCUCCUCCAACCACUAUAAUCCAGCCAGGUCAAGUGGAACCUCCUCUGAAAGAUACUUUCAAACUCAAUAUUGACGGAUCCUUCGACUCCUUAAACCGCAUAGGAGGCAUCGGAGGGGCAAUUCGGGACGACCUGGGAAACUCGAAAGUUGAUUUCCACUACAAAUUGAUGGGAAUUACCUCUACCCAUAUGGAAAUUCUUUCCUUACUUAAAGGAGCAGAGUUGGCCGACUAAUUUCACCUCAAGCCUUUGGAGAUAUAGACCAAUUCCAGUGAUAUAAUACGAAUUCUAACCGAAGAUACUAAUCUAAUCUAUAAACCUCCUGUUUCCUUAUGCAGGUAUUGGCUGGAAAAACUAGGGAAUCUGACAAUCCAACAUAAUUUUAGGGAGAGCAACAAAUUAGCACACAUACUAGCAACUUAUACGAGGAAAAAUGGUAUUAAAGAAUGUAUAAUCCUCCUAACACCACCCUUAUGGACGCUGCAACUACUAGAAGAUCAGCAUGUAUACACUAUCACUUAAAAAAUGUCAGCCAGAACUUUUAAUAAUCUAGUAAAAUAUGGGUAUACUAAUAUCUCUGAUGUAGUAUUAUCAUAUGUAACUUUUCCUCA
rnacentral:lncRNA from 1 species